rnacentral:lncRNA from 1 species
AAGGAUACUUUGCAUGGGCUCUUGGUGAUAACUAUGAAUUCUGCAAAGGCUUUACCGUUAGAUUCGGACUCAGUUACGUUAACUGGACAGACCUCGAUGAUAGAAACCUCAAGGAUUCUGGCAAAUGGUUCCAGAGGUUCAUUAACGUUACCACCAUCAAACCUCCAUCUGCCAAACAAGAAUUCCUCCGCUCAAGCCUCUCCUUCCAGAACAAGAAGCUCGCAGAUGCAUGAAACCCUCUUUUUCCAUGUCAACAUGUCUCACUCUCUUAUUCUACUUUGCUCCAUAGAUAAGGAGCUUCUUCCAUCUAUACUGUACUCUAAAUAAAACAUAUUCCUAAUAAAGAAAUGAUCAAUAUAUUAAUGAAUAAUUUUACUUUUAGUUACUAUCCUAGGAUAUUUUGUCAAGCUAAGGUAUUAGAGAAGAAAAACCCCAAUUAACAUUAACGAACCAACCUGGCAAGCUGAGUUUUGUUUAUUUUUGUUAGAACCACAAAAAAAAACCCCGUAAACCGGUUAAAUGUAACCGAAACAUAAAGGACCGAUUAACUUACACUUAUUAGUUUUAAACUUGGCCAGCUCAAAAGUAAUCUGAGAGAAAACUUGGCCAGCUCAGUCACGUAUGUUCCGAGCUUUGAAUUUUUUGGUUUUAUUUCCUUAUUGGUUAUUCUCUGUUUUCUUGUAAAGCAGUUUUCUACAUACACAUUCGUUCCUUUAAAACAUCAAUAAGUUUCACAUUUAGAAAAAAAAAAAGAGAGAAUCUUCAUCCCAUUAUUUAAUAUGAUCCUUUCCUUUUUUUUCGAUAAAGAUUAAUCAAUAUCAAUUCCCGAUCUAAUACAAGUUACGAAUAUAUGCUAUCAAAAAAGAGAAGUCAUCUCUUGAGUCUUGAUUGUCUAUAUAAGAAGACUGGGCAGAUAAAAGUGAAGGUCAAAACCCUAAUUUCCAAUUAUUCAGCCACCUUACGCACGCUCUCUUUUUCAUUGUGAGAUGAAAAGAGAAACAUUGAGACUGCUCGAUCUUCCAAGGGACUUGGUAGAGGAGAUACUCUCUAGGGUUCCAGCCACAUCUCUUGGUCAACUACAAUCUACUUGCAAACGAUGGAAGGCUUUGUUUAAAGAUCCAGUGUUCAUCAAGAAGCACUUGGAUAAAGCAGCAAAGCGAUAUUUGGUUCUAAUGUUGAUUGAUUAUAGAAUUUAUUCGAUGAGUAUCAAUCUCCAAGGAAUUCGCAACAUUGUUGAUCCAAUUAUAGAUAUUAAGCGUAGACUUAGCCUAAACGAUCUCCAGCAUAUUUCAGAACAGGAUGGUACUUCUGAUUUCUUUCAUUGCGAUGGUUUGUUGUUACGCCGCGUUAGAGACGAUAAACUGGUCGUUUGGAACCCUUGUCAUGGUCAAACCAGGUGGAUCCAAUUCAACAGUUACAAGCCAUUAUCUAGGGUUGCUCUUGGAUAUGAAAACAGCAAAUCUUGCCAUAACUACAAAAUCUUGAGGCUUUGGGAUAAUCUUGACUUCUUUCAGGAUAAUAAAUUCCGACCGGUUCUUCGGUUUGAAAUCUAUGAGUUUAGCUCUGAUUCAUUGAGGGUUCUUGAGGAGGCCCUUCUCGACUGCCUCAUACUAGGAUGGAAUGGCGUGUCUUUGAUGGGAAAUAUUUACUGGGUUGUUUCAGAUACAAAAGAUAAAUCUAUAUUCUUACUCAGUUUUGAUUUUACAACAGAGAGAUUAAGACGUCUGUGUCUUCCUUUUGGGUGCUCGAAUGUUGAUACUAUAGCUCUCUCAGUUGUUAAAGAUGAACAAAUUUCAGUGUUACAUCAGAGGUGUGAUACUCCAGAGAUUGAGAUUUGGGUGACGACCAAUGAUAAGAAUGAUCACACCAAAGUCUUGUCAUGGAGAAAAUUCUUAGCAGUGGAUAUUAGCACUCAUCAUGAUUGGAUGUUUUGGUGUAUCCGAAGUUUCUUCUCAUCGACGUGGAGAAAAAAGUGGCCGUGUGUUAUUAUUCAAUACACAAAGAUCAGACCAGCAGGGAAAUUGUAUGCAUUUUUGGAGAGGAUAAUGAAUACAGAGAAAUCUCUUCUGUAUAUACAGACAAAUUACGGUGGCCAUAUAUGUUGACUUAUUUUCCAAGUUUGGCUCAAAUCAGAAAGGUUGAAUAAUAUGUACCUUGAGGCUCAAACCACGGUUUUUCCUUUCGUUGUUGUUUUUGUAGUAGACGUCGUUUGAUUAAUUUAUGGUUUUUUUGGCUGUCGAUUGAUUCAUUAAUUGUAGUAAAGGAAGUUACAUUGGUCUGGACUGAAUAAGUGUAGGUGUGUGUCUUCAAGCCCUAUCUAUUUUUUCUUUCUUUCUUUUUUUCCUGUUUAACAUUAUAUCAACCAUUUGGAAAAGGGAUGAAUGAUCUGUAUAUAUAUAUAUAUAUAUAUAUACACACAUAAAAUUUAGAUAACUUGCGACGGAUAUCUGACGGAAAUUCAAAAGAUUAUAUAACAGUUAUAAGCAACUACUUGACAAGUUUCCGAUGGAAAAUUCAGUGACAUUCGUUCUUUAACAAAUUGAGGUUCAAAUUAGUUCAUUUACCAUCACUCUUUCCUUUAUUUUUAUUCUUGGUUACUCAUACUAAAUUAUUCUUCUCAUCAGUCUAAGUUUUCAUCUCUCUUAUUAAAGAAUAACCCUUUCUUAGUAAUUAAGUUACACAAGCUUAAUCUCAUAAAUCUUAAGUUUUAAUUUUUCUCAUUUUAGAAUAACUCUUUCUCACUUAGGCCUCGUCCUCGGGCACAGAACACAAACUAUUAGGAGAUAGUCAUAACCAUCAUCUCAUUGACAAGGAUAGAGAUAUGUUUAUUCUGGAUAGACUUGUCGAUUUUACUUCGGAGUCUAUAUGUUUAGGGUCAUUGAUCCAAGAUUCCUUCGAUUGCGUCCCAUCCAAAUUUGAUAGGCCGUACUUUGAAUAGCAAACCUAAGAGGAAACAAACCUGUUGGAUCAUUUUGUGAAGGAGAUAUUUUAUCAACAAUAUUAUCCCAUCCUUUAGUGAAUUUUCUUCUGAGAAUGCCUUGAGAGAUAUUCCUCUAAAUUUUCGCAGAGAACUGACAAUAACCGCCAAGAUGUCUCAGCCCUCAUUAUCAUUUGGAAGGGGAUAACUGCUUGACGAAUGACGACUAAACUUUAGCCUGAACUUGCUGCCUUUGCCACUGAGGCGGUCAAUGGGAUCCCAUAUUGCGAGCUCCUCUCAGUACUGUGAUACCAAUGAGUUUUCUUAACUCUUUUCUAGCUUUGAAUUCGUUUGUUUUUUUUUUCUAUUGGUUUUUCUAUGUUUUCUUGUAAAACUUCUAUGCUUCUUUUUUAUUUAUUUGUUUUUUUUUCUCGUAAAAUUUUUUUUUGUUGGUUUUUUUUUUGUUCCUUUUUGUCAACUUAUUUUAUGUGAAUAUAGACAAACGAGUUCACGUAGGAAAUUAAAAUUGAAAGAGAUAGUUAAAGGGGACUCGGCUCUUGAUUGUCAAAACCCUAAUUUCUAAGUAUCCAGCCGAAUUUCGCUCUAUUCUUCAUUGUGAGAUGAAAAGAAAUACAUUGAGACUGCUCGAUCUUCCAAGCGAGUUGGUAGAGGAGAUACUCUCUAAGGCUCCAGCCACAUCAAAGGGUCAACUACAAUCAACUUGCAAACGAUGAAAUACUUUGUUUAAAGAUCCGGAGUUUAUCAAGAAGCACUUGGAUAAAGCAGCAAAGCAAUAUUUGGUUCUAAAGUUGACUGAUUCUAGGAUUUCGAGAGUCAAUCUCCAUGGAAUUUACAGCAACAUUGUUGAUCCAACUACAAUGUUUAAGGGUGGACUUCGCCUAACCGAUCUCCAUCAAAUUUCAGAACAGGUUGUUAUUUCUAAAGUCUUUCAUUGUGAUGGUUUAUUGUUAUGCACCACCGGUGAUGAUAGACUCGUUGUUUGGAACCCUUGUAAUGGCCAAACCAAGUGGAUCCAACCCGGAAACUGUAAGCAGAGACAAAAUUACUCUAGGGUUGCUCUUGGAUACGAAAACAACAAAUCUUGCCAUAGCUACAAAAUCUUGAGGUGUUGGGGUAUAUUUUUUGACUUGUCUGAGGAUAUCCAACCCGUUCGGUUUGAAAUAUAUGAGUUGAGCUCUGAUUCAUGGAGGGUUCUUGAAGAGGUCCUUGUCGACUGCGUCAUACUAAAAACUGGCGUGUCUUUGAAGGGGAAUAGUUACUUGCUUGUUUUAGAUAACACUAAUAGGUCUAUCUUCCUAGUCAGUUUUGAUUUUACAACAGAGAAACUUAGACGUCUAUGUCUUUCGUUUUCGAGUCGUUAUGUUGAUACUUUGGCUCUCUCAGUUGUUAGAGAAGAACAACUUUCAGUGUUACAUCAGAGGCAACGUAAAGUAGAGAUAGAGAUUUGGGUGACGACCAGUGAUAAGACUGAUCACACCAAAGUCUUGUCGUGGAGAAAAUUCUUGUUAGUGGAAUUAAGCACUCGUCCUCAUUAGUUGUUUCUGCAUAACCUAAGUUUCUUCAUCGACGAGGAGAAAAAAGUGGCCGUGUGGUUUGAUGCAAGAGACGAAGACGAGACCUUCAGGAACAUUGUAUGCAUUAUUCGAGAGGAUACUGAAUACAGAGAGAUCCCUUUUGGUGAUUCACUGCCCCCAUUUAUAUUCUCUUAUGUUCCAAGUUUGGCUCAAAUCCAGCAAGGUUAAAUAAUACCUUGAAGAUCAAAUCACUGAUUUUCUUUCAUUGUUUGUUUUUUUAUACAAGUAAAGGUCAUUUGAUUAUUUUUUGGUUUUUUGGCUGCCGAUAUUUUCAUUAAUAAAUUGAUCAAUUGUAGUAAAAGAAGUUACAUUAGAUCCAAAAAAAAAACUGACAAAAAAGAGAGGUCUGGAUGGAAUAACUGUAGGUGCAAGUAUGGAGUUAGUCAUAUCUGAACCAAUAUUAUGAAAAGAGCCAAGAGGAUGACGAAAGCUUUCCUCUUCUUCAAGCCCUAUCUAUUUUCUAUUUCUUUCAUUUUUCCUUUUCAAAAUUAUAUUAACCAUUUAAAAAGGGAUGAAUGAUCUCUAUAUACACAUAAAUUUUAGCCUUGGUCUAUAAGUCUUGGUCUCGUCCCCCCUCUGGUGUGUUCAAAUGCAACUUUGAUACUGCUUACAAUCCUUCCUCCGGAGAAGCUUCAAGCGGAUGGAUUCUGAGGGAUGAAACAGGGUGGCAAAAUAUUGGGGUUCGAUGUUUCUAGGUGAAGCAAACUCUGCUCUGGAAGCUGAAGGAAAAUCACUUUUAUCUGCUCUCCAAUCAUCUUAUAUGAUGAGUUUUCAACAUGUCAUCUUUGAAGGGGAUUGCAGGAACUUAAUCAAGAACUUAAAUGGUGAAGAUAAAGACUUUGGGAUAUGGAAAUGAGCAUUGAAAUUUAGAAGUGUGGAAUUCCAGUUUGUGUAUCGCCAAUAUAAUAAACCGGCCCAUAGCCAAGAAUCGGAAUUCUCUUCCUUCUUUCUUUUCUGGUUUAUCAAUCCUCCUUUGUCGUUAACCCCUUUCCUUCAUAAUGACUAUGUAACUUUAAUACUUUCAUAAUUAAUUAGUCUUUUCCUGGAAAAAAAUACACAUAGUUAAAUAUAUAUAUAUAUAGAUUUAAGAUAUUUGAUGUAAAAAAAACAACUAUAUUUUUUUUACGGAUUUCAGAUGAAAACAUUCCGCUUCCUUAAUUUUUUUUUAACAAAUUGAGAGUCAAGAUUCAUUUAACAUCGCUCUUUCUUUUUAUGUUUGUUACUUGGUUACUCAUAUUUAUCAACUAGGUAAUUUUCCCGCGCAAGGUGUUAACGGAAAAUUUUAUUAAUUAAAACAUAACCAAUUGAUUAAAUCUGUCACUAUAUUUUUGUAAAUUUCGAGAAUGUGUUGAAAAUACCAAACUGUCAUCUUGCAUCAUUUGUGCUAUUGAGAUAUUUGAAAUUAAAACAGAGUAAACAGUAUUAUUCGAAAAUAUUUAUUCUUACUAAAUGUAUUUUUUUAUUUUUUUUUUAAAAACAGAUUAGAUAUGUCGUCAUCGUUUAUAUAUGUAAUGAACUAUAAAAAAAUAUAUUAUCAAGUAUGCAUGAAUAAUACAUAAAUAUUAUAGGUUUUUUUUCUUUUUCUUUGACUUCUUUUUUUCUUUUUAUUUCGACUAUUCUUCUUCUUUCCAAANNNNNNNNNNNNNNNNNNNNNNNNNNNNNNNNNNNNNNNNNNNNNNNNNNNNNNNNNNNNNNNNNNNNNNNNNNNNNNNNNNNNNNNNNNNNNNNNNNNNNNNNNNNNNNNNNNNNNNNNNNNNNNNNNNNNNNNNNNNNNNNNNNNNNNNNNNNNNNNNNNNNNNNNNNNNNNNNNNNNNNNNNNNNNNNNNNNNNNNNNNNNNNNNNNNNNNNNNNNNNNNNNNNNNNNNNNNNNNNNNNNNNNNNNNNNNNNNNNNNNNNNNNNNNNNNNNNNNNNNNNNNNNNNNNNNNNNNNNNNNNNNNNNNNNNNNNNNNNNNNNNNNNNNNNNNNNNNNNNNNNNNNNNNNNNNNNNNNNNNNNNNNNNNNNNNNNNNNNNNNNNNNNNNNNNNNNNNNNNNNNNNNNNNNNNNNNNNNNNNNNNNNNNNNNNNNNNNNNNNNNNNNNNNNNNNNNNNNNNNNNNNNNNNNNNNNNNNNNNNNNNNNNNNNNNNNNNNNNNNNNNNNNNNNNNNNNNNNNNNNNNNNNNNNNNNNNNNNNNNNNNNNNNNNNNNNNNNNNNNNNNNNNNNNNNNNNNNNNNNNNNNNNNNNNNNNNNNNNNNNNNNNNNNNNNNNNNNNNNNNNNNNNNNNNNNNNNNNNNNNNNNNNNNNNNNNNNNNNNNNNNNNNNNNNNNNNNNNNNNNNNNNNNNNNNNNNNNNNNNNNNNNNNNNNNNNNNNNNNNNNNNNNNNNNNNNNNNNNNNNNNNNNNNNNNNNNNNNNNNNNNNNNNNNNNNNNNNNNNNNNNNNNNNNNNNNNNNNNNNNNNNNNNNNNNNNNNNNNNNNNNNNNNNNNNNNNNNNNNNNNNNNNNNNNNNNNNNNNNNNNNNNNNNNNNNNNNNNNNNNNNNNNNNNNNNNNNNNNNNNNNNNNNNNNNNNNNNNNNNNNNNNNNNNNNNNNNNNNNNNNNNNNNNNNNNNNNNNNNNNNNNNNNNNNNNNNNNNNNNNNNNNNNNNNNNNNGUUUUGAAUUUUUUCCUCCUAUUCUUCUACUUCUUUUUUUUUUAAUUUUUUUCUUUCUUCCGUUUUUUCUUCUACUUCUUCAUCGUCUUCGUCUCCUCCAACUUCUUUUUUAAUUUUCUUCCAGUUUUCUUCCCUCUCAUUAGUCAUUGUAUCCAUCUUUUAGAAUUAUUACUCUUCCAGUUUUUCUUUCGCUUAUCUUUGUCUUCUUAUUCUUUUAUUUUCACAUUAUAUUGUAUAAAUAAACAUUAGCUUGUAAAGAAGUCUUCUGGUUUAUCUUCGUUUUCUUAUUUGUCUUCAUCUUAUUCUAAUAAAUGUAUAUUAGAUUGUAUAAUAAGUAUUAACUUUUGCAAUGUUGGUAAAAAACUCCAUGAAACAAAAUAAUUUUCCUUUUAAGGGGCCGGAUUUGAGAUUUUGGAGGCUUGAACAAAAAUAAGAAAUAGGAGCCACUAAUUUUGUUUUAUAAAAAAAAAUCAAAAAAAAAAAUUUAUAAACUAAAUUAGACUAAAAAAUUUUGGGGGCCAAGACAAAUUUUUCAAUGGAUUUAACCCAAAUCCGGCCCUUAUGUAACAAAUAAUAUAAAACAAAAUAAAAUAUUCAACCAUCCAAACAAACUUAGUUUACUUUCAUUAAGACCGGUAAAGAGAGUAGCAAGCAAGUUCAUCUAUCACAGUCUCUUGUUUAAUUGGUAGAUGAAGGCGUAAUUUUUAGGAACGUACAUCAAUUUACAAUACACCCUUUUUGGUUUCCUAGCGGUCUUUUCCUCACUAGAGGUUUUGAAUAAAAAAAAGAAUACAUGACCUUGAAUUUGAAGGUGGAAGUAAUCAGAAAUGAGCAUUUCUCUAACCAUUUGUGAAAAACUUAUUCUCCAUAAGAUUCAUUCAAGAGUAACACACAUGCGCUAAAGAUAGCAGCUGUUGGCAUAAGUAAAAUAUGAGAACAAAAUAGUUUCAAGACAUAUAUUAAAUAGAUAUUCUAAUCAGAAAAAAGAUUGAGUCCUGAGAUGGAGAGAAGUAAUACUUCACAUAAAUGACAGUCAGUCAAACAAUAAUCAUGAAAUGAGCACAUCCCAAAACUUGUCUGAGAGAUAUAAACAGAGAUAGUUGAAAAACAACCAAAGCUUUGAUGCACUGUCUUUUUAAGGUCAGCUUGAAACCUCUCUUCUUCGUCCUCUUCAGCUUGCAAUUGUCGUAAUGUCUCCCUUCCCACAUCUUUGUCAUCAGGAUAGAAUAUAAAAUACAAGAUGAAUGAUGUUAAAAACACAAUUAAUAGAAAUCAAUUAAAUACACAAAUUAAAGAGGCACCCCAGUUUGAUACAUAUAACAGAUUCAUUAGUGCCUUAAUUAGUCUUAUCCCAAGACCAGUACGCAGAGGCACCUGUUUGACACAUUAUUCUUUUUAAACAUGAGAGAUAGAAGGAUAUAUGAUAAAAAAAAUGAGAAAAGGCUUACUACCAUUGUACGUAGAGUUUCAGAUUGUCUCUCUCUGAUUCUCGGUUUGACCUGUGAGAUUCACUAUUUUUGCUCUCAGACAGUGCAACCAGAUAUUUUCCAUCAAUCAACUUGUUAGAAACUCCGUACAAGGAAGCACUCUGGCCUUGGGGAAGAGACCCCAUAGCAAUUACAAUCCAAGUGCAAAACACCAGAACCUAUACAGCAAAAAAAAAAAAAACAACGAAAGGAAGUAAGAUCACAAACUAACAACCAAAAAACUAUCACAAUCUAAAAAAACAGAGUAUCAGUUAAACACGAUCAAAGAUUAACACAAACAGAAAAUAUCAGUUAUCAUCAGUUAAUCACGAAACAUAUUAGUUCCAUAUCGGAUGUGUAAAAAAGGGAGAGGAUAAAAAAACAAAAACAAGAGUUAAACCUAAUGCGUUAGUACUCAGGAAAAAUAUAGGAGGUUGUUGUCAAUGUAUGUGGUAUAUAUAUAGGUUAAUGAUAUAACCUAAUUCAGAUUCAGAUUAACCAAAACACGGUAGUCAGUAAUCGUGGUCAGAAAUACAAUUUCAUCUAAAAUUGUCAAAUUUUUGCCCAAAAUUUUUUGACAAAGCAAUAUGAUUAAAAAACUUUGACCAAAUUUAUUGGUCAAAAAUUUCUGACAAACUUCAUAAGACAGGAUGUAUGAAAACUCAAAAAAGUGGAUGAAUCGAUAGAAACAAUCACUCUAUACCUAAAUUUACUAUCAAAAUUCGAUCACUUCAGAAAGAUUUGUAGCCAGUUUGAUCAACAAAUAGAUUUAGUGAAGAAACUAUUACCAAUGUAACUAAACUGGAAUUAUAUGUAUAUAAUUUGUACUUCACCAUAUAGUAUCAUCUGGAAUUCAUAAAAGAAAACAUGUAGAGCGUUAUUCGUUUAUAUAAUUAAUUUAAAAAUUCAUAUAAAAUUUAGAAAUAAUCUUUGAUUUUUUAAAUUCGAGCAAAUCCGAAAAUUUUACCCCGAAUUACUUUUUGUAAUUUUAACAUGAAAAUCCACUAAAAUCUUCUCUAAAAUUAAAUUCAUAAAUAAAUCUGUAAGAUUAAAUAACACGUAAUUUAAAAAUAAAUUUAAAAUCAUAGAAUCAAUAACACUGGAUUUAAAAAUGAAUUUUAAAAUCAUAUAACCAAUAAUAUUGGAUUUGGUUUGGAUUUUAAAUUUAUUAAAAUACAUAAACCAAUAACCCCAACGAAAUCUCCAUAAUGAUGGGACAUGAUCCUUUUUUACUUUGUUCCUCUUCCCUUUUUUGAUAUGAUUUUUUCCUUUUUACUAUAAAAAAUAAUAUCAAUUCCUAUUUUCAUACAUAUUACGAAGAUAUACUUCUACUUUUCUAAUGCAAAUUUAGUAAAAAGGAAAUUUGAAAGCGUAGUUGAAGAGGAAGCCGUUUCUUGUUUGUGUAUCUAUAUAAGAAGACUGGUCAGGGAAAACGUGAAGGUCAAAAACAUUAAUUUCUUAUAAUCCAGUCCAGCCACCUCUCGCUCGCUCUCUUCUUCUCUAGCAAGAUGACGAAACUGCUCGAUCUUUCAAAUGAUUUGGAAGAGGAGAUACUCUCUAGGGUUCCAGUUACAUUAAUGGGACAACUACCAUACACUUGCAAACGAUGGGGAGCGUUAUUUAAAGAUAUCAAAUUCAUCAAGAAGCAGUUGAACAAAACAGCAAAUCAAUAUUUGGUUCUAAUGUUGAAAGAUUAUAAGGUCUUCACUGUAAAUCUCGAUGGAAUUCACAGCAACAUUGUUGAUUCAACUAAGGAGUUUAAAGGUGGACUUAUCCUAAACGAUCUCCAUCGUAAUUCAGAAAAAGUUAGAAUUUUUGAAGUCUUUUCAUGCGAUGGUUUGUUGUUAUGCACAGCCGAAUACGACAGGCUCUUUGUUUGGAACCCUUGUAAUGGUCAAACCAGGUGGAUCCAACCAAGUGCUUGUAACAAGAAGACACUCUCUAGGGUUGCUCUUGGAUACGAGAAUAAAAAUUCUUGCCAUAGCUACAAAAUCUUGAGGUGUUGGGAGGAAAAUCAUAAACUGUGUUGGGCUAAUAACUUCCAACCAGAUGUUCGGUUUGAAAUCUAUGACUUUAGCUCUAAUACAUAGAGGGUUCUUAAUAUGGUUGCUCACGACUGCUUUAUAAUAAAAACAAAUGGUGUGUCUUUGAAGGGAAACAAUUACUCGCUUUUUUAUAACGGCUCUAAUUUCUUACUCCGUUUUGAUUUUACAACAGAGCAAUUUACUCGCCUGUCUCUCCCGUUUGCGAGUGCUUAUAAUGACACUUUAACUAUGUCAUCUGUUAGGGACGAACAAAUCUCGGUGUUACAUCAGACUCGUGGUACACUAGAGGUGAAGAUUUGGGUGACGACCAACGAUAAGAUUGAUCAGAACGAAGUCUUGUCCUGGAGAAAACUUUUAGCAGUGGAUAUAACCAUUCAUACAGUACAUCGAUGUCCGUUCUCAAGUAGCCGCCUAAGUUUCUUCAUCGACGAGGAGAAAAAAAUGGCCGUGUGCUGUGAUGAAAGAUACGUAGAUGUUAAGAAGACCAUUAUCAGAAACGUAUUAUGCAUUAUUGAAGAGGACAAAUACAAAGAAAUCCCUUUUGGAGAUACAUACAGAUCAUGCUGGUCAAAUACAAAGAAAGGCGACAUUGCAUGCAUUUUCAACUAUGUCCCAAGUUUUGCUCAAAUCCAGUAAUCACGGUUUUUCUUUCGUUUGCUCGUUUUUGUAAGUCGUUUGAUUUUAAUGUCUUCUCUUGCUUCCUCAUCACCUUGUAUUUGGGAGAAGCUAUUUUCAAUCAAUAUUUCAGUUGAGAUUAAUAUAGAGAUUAAGGAAUAAAAUAAAAUUAGAGGAUAACUAAAUACUCUAUUUGAUGAGUGGUAGGUCUCCAAUGAGAAAGUUAAAUCAGUUGUGAAGUUUUAUUGUUUUUUCCGUGCUUCGUGGAACCUCACUUUUACCACAAACCAUCAAUUUAUUUCAAUCACAAAAGAGAAGAAAACAAAUCCUAAAAAAAGCUAAACUUUCCUAAAUUUUGAUUUACUAUUUUCUUAUUUGAAAUGCUUUCAAUCCUUAAAUCCAAGAGAAACGUUUGUUCUCAAGAAUUUUGUUUCAUUUUAAGACGGAAAGAGAGUUUUUUGUUGUUGUUUGUAAUGUUUUUUUAACAAAAAUCUUACAAUACUUUUAUAAAAAUUUGUAUCAUCUUUUUAGAUCAGCUGGAUUUUAAAGGUAAAAAGGGGUUUAACUUGCGGGGCAAGAAAACAAGCGAACGUUGUCGUACCAUGGUUGCAGCGUUGGAACGAGGACUAAGCGCUUCAAAAUCAUUCAAUUUCAAAAGAAUGUUUGAUUCAUCUUCGACAAAACAACAACCAUCUCAUCAAACACUUGUGGUAGAGAACGGAGAUUCUCAUCUUGUUGAAUCCAACACGCCUGAAAGCCAAAACUCCGAUAGCUUCGCAGAAAGUCCCGUUGAGACCAUCCCUCCCAUGAUUUCCCCUCUUACUCGGUUGGGUCGGCCGGGAAAUCGAACCGAGAGACAACAAGCAGGUGACAUAUUUCUUUCUCCAAGAACUUGUUUUCUUGGUUAGGGUUAAUCUACGAAGACAAGUUAAUGUGUUCCUUUGUUUCUUACAAUGAAACCCUAAUAAUGUCCGGUUUCGCAGAUACGGAGAUGAUGAAGGACAGAUUCGCGAAAUUACUUCUGGGAGAAGAUAUGUCCGGUGGCGGAAAAGGCGUGUCUUCUGCUCUGGCUCUUUCUAAUGCCAUCACAAAUCUUGCUGGUAAUCUUUCAAUAUUCCUUGUUUCUUCCUUUGCAAGUAAUUAAGAGGUUCUCAAUAGGUUUGUGAAUAUUCUGAUCAUUUGAUGGUACGAUUCAUUUUCAGCCUCAAUAUUCGGGGAACAAACAAAACUCCAACCGAUGCCGCAAGAUAGACAAGCAAGGUGGAAGAAAGAGAUCGAUUGGUUAUUGUCUGUGACCGAUCACAUCGUCGAGUUUGUUCCUUCACAACAAACGAGCAAAGAUGGAGUUUGCACCGAGGUUUGAAAUUUCCCUAAGAAAAAACAAAAAUAUCGUUUUCUACCUCCUUAGACAGAUUUAUAUAAUGUUUAAUGAUUUUAACGUAGAUUAUGGUGACAAGACAAAGAGGUGAUCUUCUCAUGAACAUUCCAGCCCUUCGAAAACUUGACGCCAUGCUCAUCGUAAGUGUUUCAUUUGUGUAUUUAUAAGAAAAUAAAAUAUAAUUAGUGUAAGAGUUUGAUGGAUUAAUGGUGAUGAAAACAUGUUCAGGACACAUUGGAUAAUUUCAGAGGACACACCGAGUUUUGGUAUGUGUCAAGAGAUUCAGAAGAAGGGAAGCAAGCGAGGAAUGCUAGGACAAAUGACAAAUGGUGGCUCCCUCCGGUGAAAGUUCCUCCCGGCGGUUUAUCUGAACCGGCUCGGAGAAUGCUUUACUUCCAGAAAGAUUCAGUCACACAGGUUCAAAAAGCUGCAAUGGCCAUCAAUGCUCAAGUCCUCUCUGAAAUGGCAAUACCCGAGAGCUACAUCGACUCUCUCCCAAAGGUAAAAAAUCAAAAUCAUUCACAAUUAUGUUGAACUUCUCUCUUUGUUGUUAUGUAUUACUUUAAAAGGUUUGAUUUAUGUUGAUAGAACGGAAGAGCCAGCCUUGGGGAUUCGAUCUACAAGAGCAUAACAGAGGAGUGGUUUGAUCCAGAGCAGUUCCUGUCGAUGUUGGACUUGUCUACAGAGCACAAAGUGUUGGAUUUGAAGAACAGGAUUGAGGCUUCUGUUGUGAUUUGGAGGAGGAAGCUUCACUUAAAGGACAACAAAUCUUCUUGGGGAUCAGCAGUUAGCUUGGAGAAGAGAGAAUUGUUCGAAGAGAGAGCAGAGACGAUCUUAGUCUUGCUCAAACAGAAAUUUCCCGGUCUUCCUCAAUCUUCCCUUGACAUCUCCAAGAUUCAGUUUAACAAGGUAAAUGCCAAAGCAAUGUAUUCAUAAUUAUAGUUCAUCAUCAAUUAAUCACAAUGAUAAAAUAAAUUCUUGGUUAUGAGAUUGUGCCCUCGUCUACUAUAGAUGCCUUAAAUGGCAAGAAACAACUCAGGAUUUUCUAGUUAUAAGAAAACAAUAUAAUCUUAACUAUUUAUUGUUGAAUGGAUACAGGACAUUGGUCAAGCGGUGUUGGAGAGUUACUCAAGGAUACUUGAGAGCUUGGCUUACACAGUGAUGUCAAGGAUAGAAGAUGUUCUAUACACUGAUUCUUUGGCACAAAAGCAGACUUCACUGGCUGAAGAAACCUCAGAAGGUGGGAGAACAACGGAGACGGAUUCAGAGUCAGCUGGAUCUUCUAACUCCGGAGAAGAAACCGAGAAGCUUGACCCACACUACUCCAAGACCUUGUUGGAUUUCAUGGGUUGGAGUAACGACAAAGGUGGCGAUAAACCUACCAAAUCCCCAAACCUUACGCCGAAAAAGCUCUCAUACUUGGAGAAGUUAGAGAAUUUGAACGGUUUUAGAAGCCCCAAAGAUAGACAUUGAUCAAGAAAAAGAAAAAUACAUGUGUGAUACUUUUACAGAGGACAUAAAAGUGUAUAGCUAGGGAAAAAGGAAUGAAAGAAGAGUAGCAAAUGAAAUUAUUCACACCACACCCCCUUCCUUCCGGCUUUCUUCCUCGGAUAGAGAAGUCUUUAGCUUAAGGGGUUUUAAACUCUUAAAAAGAAGAUAACUAUAUCUCACUUGUAAAUGUUUGUUGCUCUAUAAUCUUGAAAAUGCUGUCUUUGUUGUUCUUGACUUCGAAAAUAGUGGAAAUUUGAUAUGUUUAAAUAUGGGACUUAACAUGGACAUAAUAACAUGACAAAAUAAGAUGCAUGCAUAUGGUUUAAAGGUGCACCUGAAAUCUUAGAAGUUUGAGUUUCUCACUUUUUUCUUAGCAAAAUUUACCAUUUCCACUUUUACGGAGAAAGCUUUUGGCUUCGGCUUCUCAAGAUACAAGCCAAUUUGUAUCGUAUAUAUAUAUAUAUAUAUAUAUAUAUAUAUUUGUUUACUAAAGACAAUUUAGAUACAAGACACUUUUGCACCCCUUUUGCGGUUGAUAUAUUUUAUAUGAGUUAUUUCCUCGUUGAAUCUUUGACCUUUUCUUCCAUUGUUGAUCUACUCCUUUCUCCCUUCUCCAUUUUUUUUUAUUUUUUUUUGUUAACAUUAUUCUAUUUAAAUUACCUAAGCAUGAAAAAUUACAGAAUCUUGCUCAGGAAAAUGGCAUAUUCUCCCAUGAAUUUUAGAGCUCUUGAUAUUCAUACAUAAAAUUUUGAUUUAUGCUAAAACAUACAUAAACUAUCUAAUAAUUUACCACGUGUUAGUCAUAUCAUUAAUCAUUGACGGAAAACUCACAACAUUUAUAAUUUUGGUGAAAUUAAGCAUAUUUUAACAUUUAUUUUAAAAAUUCAAAUUAUUAGAUAGUUCGUGUUGGUUUUGUCAUAAAUCAAAACUUCAUAAAUAAUCAGAAGCUCUAAAAUUUAUGGGAGAAUAAGCCAUUUUCCUGGUCUUGCUCAGCUGUUUUUAAGCUUAUAUGCCAUGUAGCCCAUAAGCUCAUAAUACACACAAGUUAGAACUUAGAAAUAAUUUGAAGUUGAACCUGAUUAAAAAGUAGUUGGGCUAUAACCAGAUAAGCCCAUUUGGUUGGAACGUAGUUAAAGUUUGGACAAAAGAUAAAGAACAGAAAAAUAUUCGGACCGUCUCUGUUGCUGGGUUUCUCAAUUCCUUCCUCUUCGUUACUGUUUAUGCCUUAUGGGCGAUGCGAAACCUGGGACUGUGAUGGCUAACAGAGAUCGGGAGCUUCUGAUUCCAGUUGCUCAUUCCGGCGAGGAUGCUACACCCAAACCCUCGUCUUCUUCUUCUUCUUCUGUUCAUAACCAGUCAACUAGUUAUGGCUAUGAAAGCUCGUUUGCCUACAAUCAAUCCGAAGACGUUGAAUCUGCUGCACGGAAUGCUCUUCUUCGCGAACAAGUUCGUGACUUUUUCGUUUCCCGAAAAUAAAUUUCACUACUCUUUAUUUUAACGUUUUUACCAUUUGUUGAUUUGGUGUUGUAAAAUUUUUCAGGAAAUUGAAACGCAGAAGAUCAUACAAGGUCAAAGGUUCUGUCUUUCUCUUGGUUUGUCUUUUGUAUCCAUCUUUUUUUGUUUUGAACAUGUUCCUGCUCUUAUGUGAUUUUGUCUAAACUGUUUUGUGUUUAACUAUUUCAGAGAGGCUGGGACUUCAGUAGCUGGAGAUAAUAACACUGACAUUCUUCAGCAUCGUGCUGACCCCAAUGCUCUAAAGGUUUUUUAUUUCAGUGUUCCUUUUAUCUUCAAGCUGCUAGUCUGUAACUAGUGUUUAUUUUACACACAGAACAUGAAUUUGUCAACGUAUAUUCGUUUCACAGGAACAUUUGCUAAAGUUCACUGCACAUCACCGGGCAGAAACAGCAUCAAAGCGUGGAAGUGUGAGUACCUGUGGAGAAGGUUAGUUAUCAUAUAGCUCAUGAGCUCAAGCAUUUUGGAAAAAUUCGCUAAACCGAUCCAGUUACUGACUUUUGUUUUUCCACAUCAGGUCAUGUGGAUGUUGGAAAUGGUUAUGGUAUACCUGGUGGAGUUGCUUACGCUGGCCACUCGAAGCCUGAACCUACCGACGCUUCAAACAAUUUGCCUGAAUAUCUCAAACUAAAACUAAAAGCCAGGGGAAUUCUCGGAGAUGGUACAGUGGCUGCUGCAACAUCCAACACGCAAGAAGUAAUUAUCCAUCUCUCACUCUGUAAUCUUUGGUGAUAUAUGUCUGCUAUAGCCUUGACCAUGUUUUUAAACCCCUUUUUCAGUUCAUGUUAUUAUUGUUGUUAACAUUUUGACUUGCUUGCUUGUGAUGUUGCCAGGCAUCAGCGGUUAGUUGGAAUAGACAGACAAGUGUACCUUUUCAGACAAAUACAAGCACCUUACCAUUAGGAUGGGUAUGAAUGAGAUACACUUAACGUCCUUUCCUCUUUGGUUUUGUCAAUUAUUUUCUGCUGUGAAACUGCAUUGAUCAUUUGAGAUUUUCAUAUCAAGUUCCUGUGAUAUUGUUGUCAUACACAAUUAGUCUUUAGAUCUUACACCUAAAUGAUGGCCAGUUAUGGUUCUGAUGUUGUGUUUAUUAGUUGUUAAUACUUUUAAACUUGACUGUUUCAUUCAGGUUGAUGCAAAAGAUCCUGCUACUGGUGCUACAUAUUACUAUAACCAGCAUACCGGAACAUGCCAGUGGGAAAAGCCUCUUGACAUAUCUUCCAACUUUUCAAGGCCGCCACCUUUACCUCCUCAAGAGGAGUGGGUGGAAACACUUGAUGAAACAUCUGGUAUGUGAUUCAAUUGUUUACUUGUUUAGUCCUCACCUCUUUGUUCCAUAUGCAUAUCAAUGGAUAAGUUUCAAUUUUUCUGGCUGUGGUGGAAAGGGGAAAUCCUCAAUUGACCAGUGUCUUCUGAUUAUACAUGCAAUUGCAAUGCUUGCUUAAUUUUGGAUAUGUUCUCGUUGUAAUCCUGAACUCUGCACGUUUGAUCCCUUAUGCACAGGUCAUAAAUAUUACUACAAUACUAAGACACAUGUAUCGCAAUGGGAGCCUCCAGGUUCUUUAAAGAAGCCCGCUUCCACAAAUUCUAUCAACAGUGUCACCCAAAAUACCGCUAAUGGGAAGAGGGAGCAUCCGCACUCUCAGCUGCCAAGAUGCAGCGGAUGUGGUGGCUGGGGAGUGAGCCUUAUCCAGAGCUGGGGUUAUUGUGCCCACUGUACCAGGUCUGUCCACUGUCUUGCUAUACUUUUUGAGUUAGAUUGCUGCAUAAACGGCUUUGAUUGAAGAAUGUCAAAAAAAGUGUCCCAGUCUUAUUGUGGCUUCGUUUUCUUUCCUUGUUGAGUUUUGAUUUAUUAGAAACCAUCUAAAAGCGUGCAUCAAAUACCUUAAACAGACUUUGUUCACUUGCAUAUUUUGAGGCGUAUACCUCGGCUAAGGGGAUUUAUACUGUAUAUGGAAUGCAGAGUUUUCAAUCUCCCAGAACAGCAGUACUUGGCAGCAAGUUUAAACUACGUCACAGAUGCAGGAGAUUCUAGCCAAAAGGAUCCGAAUCAGAGGUACAUAUCUCAGAAUUUUAGUACAAGAAAAAAGAUCCUUCUGAUCCGUCAUCUUUCUUAAAAGCUGAAUGUUACAUAAGAGAGCUAGUUCUAAAUAUAUGUUAGCAAAUAUUUAGACAACCCAUUUAGAUGUAAAUGUUCUCUGAGCCCUGAGCCUCACUUUUCGUAAGGACAGGAUUUCUGUGAGAAGAAUGUACCAAUUAUCAACAUGAAACCAAGGAUUGAACACAUUAUAUGUAGUACUGAACCAUGAGGUUUAUCUGUAAUACUUUUACAUUUCACUUUCUGUUGUGGUUUACUCCUUACACAUGAUGAUUGAAAUAGGUCAAGUUCAAAACCUCCGAUGAAAAAGGGAUUAGGCAAAAAACGUGCUCUUGCCGAGGAUGAUGAGUUGGACCCAAUGGACCCAAGCUCUUACUCAGAUGCUCCACGGGGUGGCUGGUAAUGUCUACAACACCCAUUUUUAACCACUUCAUGUGUCGAAACAUGACCUAUAUACUGUUUCUCUAUUCCUCUUUUCUGCUACUUCAUCUUAACUAAGGAUUUGAUCUGAUUCCUUUGCAUCUUGUAGGGUUGUUGGACUGAAAGGAGUACAACCACGAGCUGCUGAUACAACUGCCACAGUAAUGCCACUUUUUCUUUUAAUUCUUGAUGAAUAGUUUUCAGCUUCUCACAAAACUCAGCUCUUUAACUUUGAUGAGAUCGAAAUGUGUAUUUUCAGGGUCCUUUGUUUCAACAGAGACCGUACCCAUCACCAGGAGCUGUUCUAAGGAGAAACGCAGAGGUGGCAUCAUCGCAGAAGAAGAAACCAAGCUCUCAUUACACGGAAAUUACAAAGAGAGGCGAUGGAAAAGAUGGUCUUGGAGAUGCAGAUUGAGAGCUACUCAACUAUAGUCUUCUUCUUUUGUUUUCGUUGUUGCAUUUUCUUCUAGACUCUUUGGAGUGAGUUUGUUCGUUAGUCAACACGAACCAUACGAAAAUGUGAAUUUUAGCAUUAUCCGACAAAGGGCUUUUACGUUAUCUAAAUAUAAGUAUAACUAUGAAAUACUUGCAUAUUUACCCAAUUUUUUUUUUGGAAAAGAAUAUUACACGAAAUUUCAUGACGAGUCAUAACAAAUAACAUCUCAAACUAAAUAUUUUUUGGUCAAAUAUUUCAAGACGAGUCUUAUUCAAAGUCGGAUACUCUCUACUAGGUGUUCAGUCCGCGACUUGCGUGAACCGAAAAAUUUCGUUAAAAUCUAAAAUAAAAUUUUAUGUCAUAAAUCAAAAAUAAUUAGAUCAAGAAUUUGAUACAUACAAUAUUAAAAAUAAAACUAAUCUAUAAAAAUAAUCAUGGUUUAACAUUAAAAACUUUAAAAUCAAUACUAAUAAGUGUAUGAAAUCAAUAAACACAAAUUAAAAUAAAAUUAAUAUAAAUUAUUCAUCUUUUUCCCUAUUUAUCUUUUAAUUAUUUUUUCUCUAUCAUUUUCUUCUUUCUUUCUUUUUUUAUUUUUUUUGUUUUUUUUUCUUCUUUAUUUUCUAUAUCUUUUUUUUUACUUUUUAUUCUACUAGUUUUUCUUUUUCACAUCUUCUUCUUCUCCACAUCUUUUCUUUUUUUCUCUCAUACAUCUUUUGAUUUUCUUCUCUUCCAGGUUUUAUUCCAUUUUUUCUUCUUCUUCAAUGUUUUAUUAUUCUAUUUCUUCUUCUUUUUUUCUUUUCCUUUUUUCAUUGUCAUCAUCUUCUUCGUUAUCACCGACUUUCUAUUCUUCUAGUGUUUUUCGGCUUUUACAUCAUCUUCAUAUUCUUCUACUUUCUCCAAUUCCUCAUCUUUUAAGGUUUUCAUCCAAUUUUUUCUUAUCUUCUUCUUCUUCUACUUUGUCUUCUAAUUUAUUUCUUUUCUCCUUCAACAAAUUCUUAUUCCUCUUAUUCCAAUUAUUCUUCCUCUCUCCAAAUUCUUCAUCAUAUUUUAAAGAUCUUUGUCUUAUCUGCCUUUUUACUUCUCUCAUUGUUUAUAUUUUCCUUUUUUUAGUUUUUUCCUUAUAUUUUUGAGUUCUUUUUAUCGUUAUUUGUUUUCAAAUUCUUCUUCUUUAUUCUCUUCAUUUUUUAUACUUCUUAUUCAUUUGAUUUGUCUUCGUUUUUUCAUCAUAUUUACUUUUUUCAACUUUGUCUUUUUCAUCUUCUAGUUUUCUUCUAUUUUAUUAUUUUUUCUUUCACUUCCUCUACUAUCUACUGGUUUUCUUUUAUGACUUCUUCUUCUGAUUAUCUUUUUUCUUCUCCAAUUGGUCAUUUAAUUUUUUUUGUUCAUCGUCAUCGACCUAUCCGACUAUUUUUUAAUCUUACUUGUUCACUGUAUUAUUUUUUUUUAUAUUAUCGUUGUUUUCUUAUUCUUCUCCUUUUCUUUAUUUUUUAGCUUUUCUAUUCUUUGUUUUUUCCUUCUUAUCUUUCAUUGUUUUUGACUAUUUCUUCUUAUGUAUUUUAUUCAUCUUCUUUGACUUCUUGAUUUUUUUUCAUUCGGUUUUUUCUUUGUUUUUUCUGUUGAUUUUUUUUUGUUUUAUUUGUCUGCCCCUUCUUCUUUGUUUUAUUUUAUUGUUUUUGUAUUCUCUAAAUUUUUAUUCUUCAACAUCUUCUACUAUUCUUCUUUUGGUUUUAUUAGCCGUUUUUAUCUUCUGCUUUUUACUUCUUCUUGAUCAUUUUUGUCAUAUCCAAACAUUUUUUCUUUCUAAUUUUUGUUUGUCUUUUUUGCAUCUUUACUUUCUUCUUUUUUAUUUUCUUUUUCAUCGUCGGAUUUUCAUCUUCUUAUACUUUAUUUUCUUCAUCUACCAUUUUUGUUCUUCUUUUUCUUUCAGGUUUCUUCUUCAACUUUGAGUUCUUCAUCUCCUUAUCAUUUUUCUUCUUCACUAUUUUUUGUUACCCAUCUUGAUCUUAUCGUUCAUGGUCUAGGACUUUUUGUUCAUUUUUUCCUCCUUUUUUUUACGUUUUCGUUAACUCUAUGUUCUUCUAUAUGUUUCAAUUUAUCUUUUUCUCUUCUUUUUCUACUUCGUUUUUCCCUUUUUUCCUUUUUCUGUUUUAUUUUUCGAUUUUUUCCUCUGCGUCCUGCUAGUGUAUUUGGCCUCUCUUACAUUAUUCCAAAAAUAAACAGAAUUCAGAAAGUCAUACUUAAAACAAACAAAAAACAAAAGACUUAAAACAUGUUCAUUAGACAAUGAAGAUGAUUUAUGAUAUGUUGACAUGGUUUUAAUCAAGUUAAGUAAGGAAGAAUAACUGACAACACAAAACAACAACAUAUAAUCGAGGAACACUACUACUGGUACUGAAAACGGAAAAAACAAUAGAAAAGAUCGAAAAAUUGAUUUAUAAAAAAUAAAGAUGGUAAACAAUACAACGAAAAGCCAACCAAUGUAGAAACCAAACCACAAUUGAGCUUAAGAUACAUUUAAAAAAGUAAUAUAUUUAUAUAUAGCUCUCAACUUAAGCUAAGAUUUCCCACAUCACAUGUAUAUUUUUUUUCCAGAUAAUCUUGUUCAACAGAUAAUCCGAUUGAAAUUAUCUUAAUAUUAUCAAAGUAACUAAAAGUGGCAGCAAAAUUGUUAUACAAACUACGAAAAUAAAUUAAUUAAUUGAGGAUAUUAAAAAAAGAUUUUAUUAACGAAUAAAGGGGAAUUAGUUACCUAGAUUGAAUGAGAGACCUUAUAGCGAAAAAUUUACUUCGCAUAUAAUAUAUAUGAUAUGAUUUUAAAUGUUUUUUUGAUUAAAUUCCAAUUUUUAAAUAUUCGUUAUUUUCUAUUUUAAAUAUUUUUUGAUUAAAUUUCGAUUUUAAAUAUUUUUAUUAAAUUUAAAUGUUUUUGAUUAAAUUUCGAUUUUUAACAAUUUUUUUAUUAAUUUAAGAUUUUUAAUAUUUUAUUUAAUUUACGAUUUUUAAUAAUUUUUUAAUUAAUUUAUGAUUUUUAAUAAUUUUUUUAUUAAAUUUAAUUUUUAAAAAUAUAAGGAGGGGUAAAAGGUAAUUAGCCACUCUAAGAACGAACGAGAGAGCUUUAACUCAAAAUUUUACUUUGCUUAUAAUAUAUAUGAUUUGCAAGUAAAAUUUUAUAGGAGCAAAGAAUUGUCAAUUUUUAUUUUGUUGUUUUGUUAUAUUGUAUUGUUUUUUUUUUUUAUGCAAUUCGGAUGUACUUUGAUUUUAUAUAAAUAGAAAUAAAAAAAAUCUCGAUUAAGCCAUGUAUUUAUCCUAAAAUAUCCAAGAUGUUACUAGUAUUGAUUACACAUUAUCCAUGUGAUUGUGAAUGAUUAGAAGAAGUUUCAUUAGACAUGGACAUUCGGUUCUACGGUUCGGUUCCGGAUUAGGAAUGACCAGGUUCGGUUCUUUCGGUUAUUGUAAUCUAGACCCAUUUGAGAACCGAAAUUAUUCGGUCCGGUUUCGGAUCGGUUCUUGUCGAUUACGGGUCGGUUCGGAUAUAAUUAAUAAAAACCGAAAUUGAACCGAAAAAUUGGGUACCAGUUCGGUUCGGUUUUAAUCAGACCCGAAUUGCUGAAAAUAACCACAAAUAACCGAAAUUCUUAAAAAAAUAACUGAAAUUCAAUAAGAAAAACUUGAAAUGCAUAAAGAGAUGAAGUUUUUACCAUUGUAACUUGCAAAUUCAUAACUAGAAAUGAUUUAGAGAUACUUAAAUAUCCUAGAACACAAAACCAAGUAUUAAAAACUUAGAAAUCCUAAAACAAAAGUGCAUGAACUUCAUGUCAUGAAGCAUAAAACUAUGAAAACUUAGUAAUACUAGUAAAAAAACCGAGAGCAGUAGACCACUUGUUCGUUCAUAGAUGUUUGAUAAUCCCGAACUUGAUGACUUGAGCUUGAAGACCUAAUACAAUAAUACAUGAAGCAAACACAAGAUGCAAAUCAGUUUAAAAAAUCUCCUAAUAUCACGAAGACAAACAAAAUGUGUCACUUCCCAAGUGUAGUAAUCAGUGUUUACCUUUCACUUGCAAGUUCACAAAGAAUCAAACACUCUUUCACUAUCACCAGCUCAGCUUCGUGUCAUAUUAAACUCAGGGUUGUUUUCUAUUUAAAAAAGGUCCAAAAAAAAGGUUAGAAAUCAAAGUAUCAAUUAUCAAACUUAAUAAUCAAAGAGACAAGUAAAAGGGAACAAACUUACUUCUCAUGAGUUCAUCUUCAAGCUCCACCUCCGCAAGCAUUUGUUCACAAGUUGACACUCCUCUUUCAUUGAUAUGAAUCUCACAUUUUAACCAUUGUUCAGUACACAUCAACGCUUCAACCAUGUAAUGUGUCAAACAGCUUCUGUAUGGGCUUAACACUCUCCCACUUGUGCUAAAUGCGGAUUCGGAUGCAACAGAUGACACUUGCAUUGCAAGUAUAUCUUUUGCAAUCAGUGAAAGGACUGGGAACUUGCCACUAUUUCUCAUCCACCAUCCCAAGAUAUCAUACUCUGUACCUUUCAUCAGUUUUGGUUUAUCAACAGCCUCUUUCAAAUAUAUCUCUAACUCAUUUGUUGAGUCAUCAACUCCUGCUUCUUCUACAAGCUCAUCAUAUAUGCUGUCCAUUCGUUUAUACCCAACCCCAUGACUCAGAACACUUCUUUCAAAAACAUCAGUACCGAUUUGCUCUUGAGACUGAGAAAACGUUCCUUGGGACUGAGAAGAAGAUUGUCCCUGCGACCCUGUAGAACUACUUCGAUCUACUAAGCUGUUGUACUCAGCAAACAAAUCCUUUAAAAUUUGCUCAAUGGAAUCAUAGACUUUUACCAGCGGCACUAUCCUUCUCAUAAAGAGAAUCAAAACAGAACUGAGCAAACUUCAUCUUUUUUCGUGGAUCAAAAACACUAGCCACUAUCACAAGCCUAUUCAUCUCAUUCUUCUCCCUAAACGGAUCCCAAUACUUCUCCAAUUUACCAAUCAUUGCUAAGGCUCUACUCUUCAAGGGUAUCAUCAGCUACUGGGCUAGUACUAAUGUCACUAAUGUUUGAAGUAAUAGUGACAAUCUCAUUAUAGACUUUGUGAGCAGCCACAGAUGUAGAAGCAGAAAGCAUCAAUGUAGAUUUGUAAAAAAUUACAAGAAACUGAACCAACAUGUCAACUGCAUCCCAAUAGCUUGUAGUUGGUGGUCCAAUCCUCUUUUUCCCUUCUACUUGUUCAAGAAAAUGGUCACCAUAAGGUUUAUCUUCAGCCUGCAUCCUCUCAAAAGCCAACCAAAACUUCAAAGCUUGUUCCAGCAUGAGACAUGUGGAAUUCCACCUGGUCUUCACGUCUAGAGGUAAGCUUCCUCUAGUCAUCUUUCCUGUCUCUACUCGAAACUCAAAAGAUUUCACUCUGUUUGUAGAAGACUGUACGUAGUGAACGGCAGUCCUAAUAGCAACAAUACUGUUGUCUUCUUCCGCCAAACCAUCCUUCACAAUGAGGUUCAAAAUGUGUGUUGCACACCUUAGAUGUAGGUACUGACCUUUAAGAACCAAUGCAUCAUCUCCCUGUUGCAUAAAUGCUUCUUUGAAUUUCUUCAUAGCCGAGCUGUUAGAUGUGGCAUUGUCCACGGUUAUGGUAAACACUCUCUUGAUAUCCCAUUCAGCCAAAACCUCCAGCAGAACCUUACAAAUAGUUGAUCCCUUAUGGUCGGAAACAUUCUUAAACCCUAUGAUCAUCUUUCGUAAUCUCCAAAAAGCAUCAACAAAAUGAGCUGUGAUGACCAUGUAACUUGCACUAGUAUAUGGAGCAGUCCAUAUAUCAGUUGUUAGAGACAGUCGCUGCUUGUUGCAAGAAUCUCCAUCAUCUUUGCCUUCCGAGAUACAUACAUGUCAACAAUAUCCGUUGUUGCUGUUCUCCGAGAAUGAGGAGUGUGUAGUUUGCAUUUUGAUGUGAAAUGCUUCCAAGCUACACUCUCUAUGAAAGCUAACGGCAACUCCCCUAAAACCAGCAUCUCAUGUGAAGCUUCCCUAAACACAAGCUCAGAAACCUUACCUAAACCCAGCUUCUCAUCUUCACCAGUAGGAGAUAACACAGUCUGGUUAUUAUCCCUGUUCGCAGCCUUCCAUGCUCGGUAUGCCUUGCAACAGAAGUCUAUAUGCUUCUUUAGACUAGAGGUCCCUGACUUGGUUGGACAAGACAUCUCACGGCCACAAUAAUUACAAUUACACUUGUCGUAAUUGUUCUUCUGUCUUGUGUAGUGUUCCCACAUCUUCGACCUUGUCUUCUUUGUUGAGAUAGAACCAGAAUCUCGAGACUCUUUCCUCUUCCGAGUACAAGGUGUUUCAACAGCAUCAUCUGUGUCUUCGAAAUCAUCUCCACGUUCAUUCAUUGGAACAUCAUUGCUUGGUGGGUUUUCAGAAGAUGCCAUCUGCAUAAGACAUAGUAUAGAACAUUAGAAGUAUGAACACCAAGUCAAAAAUCAAACAUAAGUUUCAGAUGUUCAUCGUACAAGACAACAAGUCAGAAAGAGUUUUUUUUUCGCAAGGAUUUCAAACACAUAUCAAACAUAAGUGAAUCAAUCUCAUACAACUGAAUAUGAAUGUAAUGAAAACAAAGUAAGUGAAUCAAAUAAUCAAUCGUAAACAAAAACACAAUUCCAAGUUUCCAACAUAAGUUUCAGAGUUCAUCCAUCGAACAAGUCAGCUAGAUUUUUUUUUUUUUUGAAGCAUUUCGAACACAUAUCAAACUUAAGUGAGUGUGAGUCAAUCUCAUACAAAGCAUAUACGAAUGUAAUGAAAACAAAGUAAGUGAAUCAAUCACAAACAAAAACACAUAUCAAACAAAAAAAGACAUAUCAAAGUACCGAACAUAAGUGUACUCAGAAUUCAGAGUUCAUCCUUCAUCGAUUAGCGUUAGAACAGAUAAAAGUCAGAGAUCAAGAUCACGAAUUUAAAAUUUGAUAACCACUUACCUCAGACAAGUUUCUCGAUGAUUCAGUUGAAGGAGACGGCGAUCGCGAUUUGGAGGCCACGUUUUUCUUAUUUAGGGAUUCCAGUUUGUAAAUUGGGGGUUUAGAGCAGCUAUAAGUAAAUCGAUCCAAGGUUUUGAUAAUGGGAAGUUGGUUUGCGAGAUCGUCGGGAAAUUUUAGUGAUUUGAUUUGAAUCAAUAUUCUCUCAAGAUCAAACUUAGAAAGAAUCGAAGAGAAGAAAAAGAAAACUUAAGAAAAUCGGGUACACUAUCGGGUUUAAGAGAAACUCCGGAUCCGAACCGUUACCCACGGGUCCAAGAAAUAGAAUCUAUCGAAUAAUUAGGUGGUAUCCGAAAUCGAUUCGGACCAGGUUUUUUGGGUCGAUUCCAGAGCGGGUUCUCGGGUCCGGAUAAUAUGCCCAGGCUAAGUUUCACUGUUUUCGUUCAAAGUCCAACAUUGCAUUUGUUUUUUUAACACAUUAAUUAACUAACAAGUUAUUGUAAAACACCCUCAUUAAACAUAUUAAAACCAAUUACGACAAUGAUACACAGUAUAGUUUUUAAUUUUCAUAUACUGUCAAAUGAUUUUUGAUAAUUGAUUAAUUGCUUUCCAUUAAUAAUUAAAAUGAUUAGAGACGAAGAUUAAAAAAAUAUUAACAAAUUUCCGAAACAGACUGGAAACAGAUAGUCUUUCUCUCCUCUUUCUCUCUCUUUCUCUGACCGUCGAAUUAGAGGUCAGCUUUGGGGAUUUUUCUUCUUCCUCGUUGAAUCUUUGACCUUUCUUCCAUUGUUGAUCUCCUUUUUUCUCCAUUUGCUCCGUCUCUGUUGCUGGGUUUCUCAAUUCCUUCUCUUUCGUUACCGUUUAUGGGCGACGCGAAACCCGGGAGCGUGAUGGCUAACAGAGAUCGGGAGCUUCUGAUUCCAGUUGCUCAUUCCGGCGAAGAUGAUGACGAUGCUACACCCAAACCCUCUUCUUCUUCUUCGUCUUCUUCCUCACAUCCCGCUGGUCACGAGGUUAUCACUUUUAUGAUCUCGAUUCGGAAAUUACGGCCCUUAGGGUUUUUUAGUUUGUGCGCUGUUCGGAUUCUGCGAUUUAGGGUUUUUGAUGGCGAAAUUCCUCGAAUUUUUCAUCCAUUUUUGUUGGGUUUAGUGCAGAAUCUUCUCUUUGUUGGUCAAUUUCGGGUUCGAGGUUGAGAAUUGGAAAGUUAGCUUUAGCUUGAUCGGAUCAAGAUUUUUGAAAACAAGGAUCUAUUUUUCGUUUCAGCAUUUUGUUCAAAGAAGUUUGAAGUUGUUCCUGGAUGAUUUAGUGAUUACCAAAGAACAUGAGAAUCUGUUGCAAUACAAGAAAUGAAACUCUGUUUCUUAUCUGCUAUCCAGUCUUGAUCUCUUUUCUGACUAAGAAUUUGGUUUAUCUUUAGACCUUUUACAAGUUGAUAAGAAGCUGGGCAUCAAAGAAGUUCAUGACUGGAUGGUAGGGGAACGUCUUGUCUUUUCUUGCUUAUCGUAAUUGAGGAUUUCGUUUUGCAUUUGAUCUCUAAGCUAAAUCUCUGCAUCUUCUGACUCUCUAAAUCGUCUUGCAGUGUGAUCUUGCUUCCAAUGGCGAUCACUUUCUACGUGACGUGGUGGUUUAUUCAUUUCGUUGAUGGAUUUUUCUCCCCAAUUUAUGCUCAACUCGGAAUUGAUAUAUUUGGUGAGCUUCUAGCUCCUCAAUAUCUCCGUCUAGUAACUACAUGUAUGUUCAUUGGCCAUCACGAAGUAACUCUAUAUUGUCAAAAACCAAAUCAUAUGGCUCUACAAGUUGAAGACAAAUGUAGUAGACAACAUUUAAUGUCAGUCUUGUUUUGUAAAUUUGCUUUCCAGGACUCGGCUUUAUCACGUCCCUUACAUUCAUCUUCUUGGUUGGAGUGUUCAUGUCGUCAUGGUUGGGGACAUCGGUUCUGAAUUUGGGAGAGUGGUUUAUCAAGCGGAUGCCAUUUGUUCGCCAUAUCUACAACGCCUCCAAGCAAAUCAGUACUGCUAUAUCGCCAGGUAUCGUUGGGCUUCUUUCUCUCAAUCUCUUUGGUUUGAUCGUUUUUGGUGGAGAGGAGUAGUUGAUUAUAUGACUUGUCACCAUUACAUUCCAGAUCAAAACACUCAGGCUUUCAAGGAAGUCGCCAUUAUAAGGCAUCCACGUAUUGGUGAAUACGCGAUUGGGUUCAUCACAUCGACUGUUGUUCUCCAGGUCUGUUACAUGAAACCACAACGUUCUUCAUGCAAAUGCAGGUUUAAAACAAAGCUUAAAAAUGUUUUAAUUGCAGACUUACUCAGAUGAAGAGGAACUUUGCUGUGUGUAUGUUCCCACGAAUCACCUUUAUAUUGGAGAUGUAUUCCUUGUUAGUACAAAUGAUGUGAUCAGACCAAAUCUCUCAGUAAGGGAAGGCAUAGGUGAGGAAAAAAGAUCAAUUGAUUUUACCUUGAAAAUGUCGGAGAUGUUAUCUUCUAGUCCUUGAGGGUUUGUUUUUAUUUUAUCUGCAGAGAUCGUUGUAUCGGGAGGAAUGUCAAUGCCGCAAGUUCUUUCAACGCUCGAUAUGAGAAUGGCUCCAGAAAGAAGUAGAAGUAGUAGAGCUGAAAGAAACUGAAAAUUUAGUCCUUUGCAGAAAACAAACAGAUUCUCAAAUCUUCUUUUAACGUCUUCUUCUUUUGGAGUCAGUUAAUUGCACAUUUGAUGUUGAAGCAUUAGAAAGCAAUGGUGUUUUAGAAGUGUUUGUUCUUGUGACUUGUGUUAACACUGUUUGUGUCUAUAUCCUAGACUCUCCUACUCCUUUUAGUAUGCUGUAAAAUAUGUUUGUUUAGUCCCAUCCCCUUUUUAUUUCCUUUAAAAGCAGCUCAUGGAUUUUCAUCAACUAUUCGUAUUCGAAUUCAAUUGAUUAUUAUUAUUUUUAAUUAUCUUAGAAUCGUAUAUUUACGGUUAAUAAAAAGUUUUGGAGUUGUGCAAAAGAGUCUCCAAAGAUACAAAAACAUCCUGGCUACAAUAUUUGCAAAAAAAAAAAAUUGAAUUAAAAUCUCAUUCUUUAAGUAAACCAAAUUUUGAAAAUAUUAAUUUUUUUUAAUUUAUAUAUAUGCAAACCCAAUUUGUAUGUAUGUAUAUAUUUAUACUAGCUUUUUACAUAUCUAAAGAAUAUGCAUUGUACUAUGAAAAUAAAAAUAAAAAUAAAAAACUGCACGGUAAUAUAUACAUGAAUUUUUUUUACUGCUUAUUUGGAAUUAUCUGAACCGAAGAUAUAUAAUAUUUUAAUUAUUUUGGUGUUUCCUAAAACUAAUAGGACUAUGACAAGUAUUAUCUAUACUAUUACAAUAUAUAUUUUUGUGUCCAAACAAAAAUACUUUUUUAGAUUAUUUUUUACUUAGAUAAUUACUAUUUUUGUUACCAAACAAAUUAAUUUAUUAAAAUAUUAAUUAAAUAUCAUAUUUUAAUUAAAAAAUAAUUUCGAACAUUAGUAUAUAUUAAUGGAUUUAUUUAAAUAUAAAUUAGAUUAAUUUUGUAUCUGUUAUUGGUAUAUUUUACAAAAAUAAAAAAUUGGAUAUUAAUUUAGAUUUAAUUAAGAUAUCUAAAUUUUAAAAAUAAUUUUAUAAUAAUUGAGAUGAUAAUGAUAUGUUAUUGCAUAUUUUCAUCAUGAUCAAUUAGUAUAAAAAUUUUAAAUAUUAAAAAUUAAUAAAUAUUUAUAUCAUACAAUAAUAUGAACGGAUUAGUUAGAAUUAUGUAAUAUAAUUUUUAUAAUUGUGAAUUUUUUGGAUUAAUAUAAACGAACAUGUUAGAAUUAUAUUUUUUAUAAUCGCGAUCGUAUUUAAUAGUAGAAUAAAAAAUGAUAAAAAAAAUAUUUCUGAAUAUAAAAUUAAUCUAUGUGAAUUGAAAAUAGUAUAAAAUUAAUCAUUAUGUGUGGGAGAUCGUACCCAGGAAACGAUAUCAUCCAUAGAUCCAACGAUAUGACCCAGCAACUUGCAAAUAGUAAUCGAGCAUUAGUUAGUUCAAAACACCAAGACGAUGUCGAUGAAUCGUCUAUCGUUUCUCCUAUUUGUUUUGGCCUUUAGCUUAACCAUGAUGAGUAACACAGCCUUGUCGUCCUACACAGGAACCGUGUGGUUCAGAAACUUCUUGCAUAACCACAACGAUCUCAUAGUCCAUUGCAAAUCCCUGGACCAAGAUAAUGGAUACCAUAGGCUGCCUCCCACAGUAUCCUACGAUUUCCUUUACAAAGGAAAAGGAGAUUCCUUCGACUACGAAGAUACAUUAUGGUGUCAUCUAUGGCAUGGACCUAAGUUCAAGCAUCACCAAGUCUUUAAUGUUUACACUGGCGAAGUAUGGGAAGCUAGAGAAGACGGUAUAUAUUUAUCUGAAAACCUACGUCCGUCCGCCUUCAUGUAUGGUUGGGAUGUUCCUUUAACAUUAUCAAGAGCUUCCUCGUUGGGAUCGAGUUGCUUCUAUUUAAGCUUGUUGUUAGUUUCUUCCUUGUUUCUCUUCUCUUUUGUCUAGUUUCUUGUUAGCAAAUUAUGUUUUGGUUUUUGAUUUUCUUUUAUGAGCUUUGGUGUUUUGAUUAUUUUUGUUUUUGUUGGAGAGUUUGUUAAAUUAACUUGGAGAGUUUAUUCUCUAAUUUAAUCUAAAGUCCUAAACGAACUUGGACUUAGUACAUUAACGAAUACGGUUUUGUUGAAUUACUCAAUCUUAGUUAGGUCGGGUGAAUAUAUGUCAGAUUUCUCGAAAUUAAUGAAUAUAACUAAAUAAAUACUCGGAAGCCAAUAUGUAGAAAGUUUCUCUCGUGUUUUUUUUGGACUCUUUGUACUUCCAUGAAAAGAAAUCUCUUUCUUGGUACGAAUUUUUUUUUUAUAAUGAUUGAAAUAAUAAACUAUAUACUAUUGCAUAUUUUAUCAUGAUUAAUUAGUUUAAUAGUUUUAAAUUAUUAAAAUUAAUAAAUAUUUAUAUUUUAUGAUAAUAUAAACGAACUGAUUAGAAUUAUGUUUUAUAAUGUUGGGAAUCAAUCCAAAGUCCCACAUCGGAAGUUUAGACUAAUAUGGUCUAGUAUAUAAGUAAUGUAUAACUCUAAUUAGUAUGAAGCCUUUUGGGAAGGAGCCCAAAAAAACAAAUACGUGCGGGCUUUGCUUGUUGGGCCCAAAGCGGACAAUAUCAUACUAAUUAGGGAAGUUGGACAUGAGCUUAGAAAAACCCAAUAUAUAAUCUCGAAUUUUUUUUAUUAUUAUGAACAGAUAAAAUAGAAUUAUGAUUUUAUAAUCACGUCAUAUUUAAUACUAAAAAAAUAUACAAAAACGAAUUCUAUCUAAACACAAAAUUAAUCUUUGUCACUUAUUAAAAAUAUAUAUUUAUAAUAUAUAUAUAUAUAUCUAUAUAUAUAUCUAAACAAAAAAAACACAAAUUAUUAAAAAAAUAUAAACAACUACGGGUUAGAAUCUAAUUUUAUCAUUAUAAAAGAGGUAAGAAACUAAAGAACUUUGUUUCAAAAUCAUAAAACUCACAGCAAAAAAAAAAAAGAUCGAGCACUAAUUAGUUCAAAACACCAAAAUGUCGAUGAAUCGUCUAUUGUUUCUCCUAUUUGUUUUGGCUUUUAGCUUAACAAUGAUGAGUAACACAGCCUUGUCGUCCUACACAGCUAGCGUGUGGAUCAGAAACUUUCUGCAUAACCAAAACGAUCUCAUAGUCCAUUGCAAAUCCGUGGACCACGAUAAGGGAUACCAUAGGCUGCGUCCCACAGUAUCCUACAAUUUCCUUUACAGAGAAUCAGAUGAUCUCUCAGACUACCAAGAAACAUUCUGGUGUCAUCUAUGGCAUGGACCUAACUUCAAGCAUCACCAAGUCUUUAAUGUUUAUGGUAGCAACGUAUGGGAAGCUAGAGAAGACGGUAUAUAUGAAGCGACAAGAAGCGGUGGGUCCGCGUUCGUGUAUGGUUGGGAUGUUCCUUUAACCUUAUCAAGAGCUUCCUCGUUGGGAUCGAGUUGCUUCUAUUUAAGCUUGUUGUUAGUUUCUUCCUUGUUUCUCUUCUCUUUUAUCUAGUUUUCUUGUUAUCAAAUCAUGUUUUGGUUUUUGAUUUUCUUUUAUGAGCUUUGGUGUUUUGAUUAUUUUUGUUUUUUGUUGGAGAUUUGCUGAAUGAACUUGGAGAGAUUAUUUUCUGAUUAAUUUUAAGUCCUAAACGAACUUGGACUUAGUACAUUAACGAAUACGGUUUUGUUGAAUUACUCAAACUUAGUAAGGUCGGGUGAAUAUACAGUAUGUCAGAUUUCUCGAAACUAAUGAAUAUAACUAAAUAAUUACUCUGAAGCCACUAUGUAGGAUGUCUCUCUCGUGUUUUUUGGACUCUUUGUGCUUCCAUGAAAAGAAAUCUCUUUCUUGUACGAAAAAAUAUCCCAAAAACUAAAAUCUAUUACAUAUAUUAAAAGGAUGUUCAAACCGAUGCUCGAUCUCUUGUGAUGAUUGUGACUUUGAGUUGGGAUUAUCGUUGCUCUAAUUGGCCAAAAGUGGUAAAUCAUAGAUACGAUGAGCAUCCUCUCUCCUUAUGUUAUGGUGAUCAAGACCCUAAUAAUGGUAAGUAUUGGCGUCAUAUUUAGCUAGUGAGGGUGUAACAAAUCCAAAAGACACAUAAUGGAUAAAUGGAAUACAUAGGAACAAAUUACCGUUCUCGACCAUUAGUUGCCCAUUGUCAAGUCCAAUAUAUAGCCAAUCCCAAUAUAUAGGCCCUUUAACUCUCAAGAUUUAUAAUCCAGAAAUCAUGUACAUCUGUUCUGAAAGUUGUUUAUUGGCAAUAGGUACAAUGUGAUUAUCCUAUAUUCUUGAAUGGGAAGGCGAUUUAGGUGAGACUAGAAUACAAAAUUAUACUAUAAAAAAUUAAUUUAAAUGUGUUAUUGUAAAAUGGCACCACAAUCACAGCUUUUUGGUGCGAUAUGAGUUAUGUACAAUUUCUGAAAAAAAAAAUAAUUACUCUCUAAAAAUUGAUGAAUCGCAUCGUUGUCAAAUCGGAUUAUCAUCAUUCACUAGUAUAUCAUGACUAGGGUCAUUGUAACCACCUGAAUCGGAGUGCCAUUGGGAUCCUUAGUUAAGAAGUAACCCAUAUUAUAGUAAAAGUAUGAUAUAUAUAUAUAUAUAUAUAAAAAAAACUAAAAUUAUUUAUAUGCAAACUUUGGAAUUCUCAUAAACUAAGAUAAUAUUGUUAUUACUUAAUUCUGUUUUUCCUAUUACUAGUAGGACUGUAUGACUUGUAUUCUCUAUAUAUAAUGAGAAGAGAUAUAACAAACUAAAGAACUAUUUCCAACAUUCUAUGCGCAGAUCUUCGUUUGAAAAAUCGAGCAUUAGUUCAAAAACACACACAGGAGAUAUCAAUGAAUCGUCUAUCGUUUCUCCGUUGUGUUUUGGUCUUUACCCUAACCAUGAUGAUGAGCAACACAGCCUUAUCAGGCCACACAAGAACCGUGUGGAUCACAAACUUUCUGCCUAACCAAAAAGAACUCAUAGUCCGUUGCAAAUCCGAGUACGUAGAUAAUGGAUACCAUAGGGUGCUUCCCACAAGACCAUACAGUUUGCGUUACAAAGAAGGUGAAUGCGAUGACUGCGAUAGAGUCUGGUGUCAUCUAUGGCAAGGACCUGACUUCAAGCAUCACAAAGACUUUGAGGUUGAUAAUGGCAAUGUAUGGGAAGCUAGAGAAGACGGUGUAUACCUAUCUGUAAAUCAACGUCCAGCCGCGUUCGUGUAUAGUUGGGAUGUUGCUUCAAUAUUAUCAUCAAGAGCUUCCUCGUUGGGAUCAUCUUUAAGCUUGUUGUUAGUUUCUUCCUUGUUUCUCUUUUCUUUUAUCUAGUUUUUUUUUUUGUUUGUGUUUGGAAGAUUUUAAUAAGUGAAUUGAACUUAGAGAUAGAGUUUUUUUCUUUCUCUUUUUUACUUGUUAGUUUUAAUUACGUGAGUUUUCUUCUAUACAGUAAAACCUCUAUAAAUUAAUAAUGUUGGGACCAUGAUAUUUUAUUAAUUUAUCGUGAUAUUAAUUUAUCUAUAAAUUAAUAAUUAUUAAUUUAUAGAGAAAAUUUGCUUUCCGUAUAUAAUUUUUUAAAAAUUUCUUUGGAAUAAUGUUAUAUUUUAAAAUUUUAACAAAUCUUAUGAUAUAAAUUAUGAUUAACAAUCAUACCUAUCAUAAUAAAAUAGUUUUUAACACCAGAUUGGAUUGUCCAUGUAAAAAUAUAUAUGUUCAUAAGUUUAAAACUUAUAAAAAAAACAAUGGCUACUAUCAGUAUUAGUGAUGAUAAAAUUAAAGAUAAUACUACAAUACAUUUAAAAAUAUUUAUAUGUAAGAAAAUCAAUUAUCACAUCAAAAAAUUAUCAUAAUUUUGAAUGUAUAUAGUAAAACAGCAAUAAGAGCUACUGAUAUAAUAAUUGGAGAGAUGAGAACCAAUGAGAUUUCAACUUUAAGUAAAAGCAAACACAUUAGUCAUAUUUUAGAAUAUUAUAUUUACAUAUAUUUACAUAAAUUUAUAUAAUUAUUAAUUUAUGUUUUUGUUGGGACCAUAUAUUUAUAUAAGGGUUUCGAAAAAAAUUAUUAUCUUAUUAUCUUAUCAAAUUUGAUGGAUUUUUACAUUGACCCGACUUGGGACCAGCAAAAUUUAUUAAUUUAUAGUAAUUAUUAAUUUAUCGAGUAUUAAUUUAUCAAGGUUUUACUAUAUUCAAGAAUAGGGUUUUGUUGUAAGGUUUGAUCAGCAAUGGAUUAGGUCGGGUGAAAACAAAUUGGAUUAUUCGAAAAGCAAUACAAUCUUGUAGCCAUCUCCACUUACAGAGUUCACUGAUUAUAAAAAACUAUAUAAGUAUAAUACUUUUGUAUAAUACUUACAAAAAAAUACAACAUAGUACACAAAUUAGUUUAUUGUUUUGAUUCUAGCACACCAAACUGAAAUUCCAAAAGUAGCACACAAACAACUACAUCUAAAAAUACUUUGUUUAUUCUAGAUAAGUUUAAAAUAUAAUUAAAAAUAUUAUAUUUAGGUUUUCUAUUUCCAUUUAGAGUUUAAUGUUUCUUCAUUAUUCACAUUCAAAUUCAAUUGAAUAUAUAUAUAUAUAUAUAUAUAUAAGAAUCAUCGUAUAUUUACGGUUACUAAAUAGUUUUGGACUUGUGUAUAAGAGCCUCCAAACCUACAAAAACAUCGCCUACAAUAAUAUUUGCAAAAAUUGAAUUGAAAUGAAACCUGGUUCCUUAAUACUUUAAUAGUUACAAAAUUAUUGAAAAACUAUGAGAAUAUUAAAAAUAUAUGUGUUUUUUUACUGCUUAUUGAUAAUUAUCCAAACCGAAAAUAGUAUUUUUAGUACUUUAAAGUUUCCAAAAACUAAUAGGACUAUGACAAAUCUUUCUUAUUAUUCGUAACAAAUUAACUAAAGAACACCAUCUAACAAGGUUUCUCUCCCAAGAUUUUCCUCUCUCUCCAUAAUCCUCCUGGUCUCGUUUCAAGAUCAUAAAACUCAGCAUAAAAAAUCAAGCAUUAGUUAAAAUCAUACAAGAUAUCGAUGAAUCGUCUUUCGUUUUUCCUAUUUGAUUUUGCCUUUGGCCUAACCAUGAUUAAUAACACAGCCUUGUCUCACACAAAUACCGUUUCGAUCAGAAACUUCCUACGAAACCAAAACGAUCUCAUAGUCCACUGCAAAUCCAAGGGCCAUUAUAUGAGAUACAAUAGGGUGCACCCACAGGAUCCUACAAUUUGCUUUACAGAGGAUGUGAUUACUUAGAACCAAUAUUCCGGUGUUAUAUAUCUAUGGCAAGGACCUGACUUCAAGCAUCACCAAGUCAUUGAUGUUGUAAAUGGAGACGUAUGGGAAGCUAGAGAAGACGGUAUAUACCUAUCUACUGAUCUCAGUCAGUCCACGUUCGUCUAUGGUUGGGAUCUUCUUUCAAGCGCUUCCUCGUUGUUCAUUCCUUUAAUCUUGUUGUUAGUUUCUUGCUUUGUUACUCUUUUUUUUUGUCUAGCUUUCUCGUUAGCAAAUUAUGUUUUGCUUGUUGAUAUUCCUUUGUGAGCUUUGGUGUUUUGAUUAUUUUUGUUGUUUGUGUUAAAGAUGUCCUAAAUGAAGUUGGAGGAUUUAUUUUUGACUUUAUUUAUUAAAGAAUAGGGGUUUGUUGUCAUUUUUUGAAUUACCCAAACUUAAUUAGGUCGGGUGAAUAUAAGUCUAAUUUCUCAAAAAAAUACAAGUCAAUUAUUGAUUAUAUAACUAAAGAAAUACUCUGAAGCCAUCUGAAUUGAAGUAACUAUGUAGAAAGUUUCUCCCGUUGUGGGACUCUGUCCUUCCAUGAAAAAAAAUAUCUUUCUUAGUAUUAUCAGUACACGCAAAAUUGCGAAAAAAACAAAAAAUUCCACAAAAAACUCAAAACUAUAACAUAUAUUAGGAGGAUGUUAAAACCGAUGCUCUUUUGUAAUGAUAGUCAAUGGCUCUGAUUGGUUGCCAAGGUUUGGAGAUGAACCACUCCAAUGGCCUCUAAACAUCGAAGUGAGUGAAAUAAGCGGUUGAAUCACCAUUUGUUACUAAACCGCCUUCUCCAACCAUUAUUUUUAACUGUUUUUUUAGUUCAAAAUUUGUAACCAACUUAUUUAAACGUUGUCACCGAUCGAACUUAGUGUAUAUUUUAGCAAAACGAAAAAAAUACAAAACUAAAACAUAUUUUUUGCAAAACUGGAACAUAUUUUUUGCAAUAAUCUAUUAUCUGUCUAUAAUGGGCCAAUGGGCCCAGACUUUUGGGUUUUGUUGCAAUUAGAGAGACUCUAUAACAGCGUGUAGUUUGUUUAUCUUUCACGAAACAGCGUGUAGUUUAGAAUAAUUUGUUGAAACUACAUGUCGUUUGUUUCCCCGAAACCCUAGCUCCCAAAUAUUUGUUUCUUGUAUAAAAACUAAAAAGCUUGUGAAAGUUUAACAAUAUGAGUAAACAUUCUUCUUAGGAUUUAUUCCGAUCUACGCCGAGUUUAGCUUCUCUUCCUCAUUUUUUUUCAUCUUUCUCUCUCGAUUUCAAUGAAUUUUUGAAAUUUUUUUUUUGAUUUAUGUGUUUAUGGACAGUGACGAUUGAUAUUGAAAGGUCUCGUUCGUCGUAAUAUAUGCCGUAAAAAGCUAAUUUGCCGACCAUUCUGUUAUAUCACCACCCAUAUUCUGAGUCCAUCUCCCAAAAUUUUUCUAUUGUUUUCAUCGAUUUUUGGCCUAUGAUUUAAAACAAUUUUGACAAGCAUAUGUCUGAAUUAAUCCUUGUUGAUAAAUCUAAUCUACUUUAUGAGGCUGAAUUAUUUUCCGCUAACCUCGAAUCCGAUUUUGUUUUUCUGCGUUUGAAUCUGUUUUGGUUGAUUGUGUUUUUGAUUGCUUAGGCCUGUGAUUUAAAACAAUUUUGACAAGCAUAUGUCUGAAUUAAUCCUUGUUGAUAAUAUCUAAUCUUCUCUAUGAGGCCUAUUUUGAUAAAAUCCAAAUUUCGAUUUUUGAUUCCGAUUUUUGAUUCGCUGUGUGAUUUUCUAAAAUCUUUAUUUUUGAUGAGAAAGCUUAAAGGAAGGGUCAAGUGAUGAUUGAUAACGCAUAGUUCAGAUGAUAAAAAUCUUACAUGAUUACAUCUAUUCAGCAUAGUCUUUCGCUCCUAUCUGAUGAUCCUUCCUUUUAAUUUUAUUAUUAUGUUCUGAUUUAGCGAAUGUACAAUCGUUUGACUGGUUGCUUAUUCUGAUAAUUGGAAAUCACAAUGGCCCCGAUUAUUCUGAUUGCUUCGCUUUCCAAUUUUCCAAACAUAUCACACGUUGCAAUAAAGAAAUUUGCAAUUCAUAAAAUAACAUAAUUUUUGAUUGGCGUGGAUCCCUCUCGUUAGAAUGUUUUAAUAGACUUGCGGGAACUAUGUCACUAAUUUUUUUAAGUUUGAAUUUUUUGAUAAGUCUUUGUAUUCCCUCUGCUGGCAGAUGUUGAUUACAUAGUUCCCGUAAUGAUUUUAAUUUCACCCUAUCUAGCUCUGUAAGAUUUGUCAAUCAAAUGUGGAGUCUCAAAAAUACAACAAUGAACUAAGUUUGAGUUAUGAGUAAAUAUUGUUUGUAGUUAAAGUUCACUCUCAAAAGAACAUUGUUCGUAUGUAAAACACUUUUUACAAGCAAGUGAUAUACUAUAUUGAUGCAAGUUUCACGAAUACCAAACAGAGUAAGCAAUAAACGUAGCAUAUUGGAUCGUUUUUGUUCAGUAAAUUUGAAACAGUUUACAAAAACCUUAAAACGUUUUUUUAGUAAAGUAUUGCAUAUUUAAUUUUGAUUGCAUAUUUGUAUUUGUUUGCAUAUUAUGAAAAAAGUGUUUACAUAUCUUAUGAGUGGAUUUUGGUUUAGCGGGUCUUGGAGGAAGAGAUUAAUAAGAAGCAAGAGAUGUAAUCAAUUGUUUCCACUUGAUAGAGCUCCAUCUAUGGGUUUGAUCCAUCUUUGGCAUUGAUCCAUAUGUGCUUGCUCUUUCUUGGUUGAUAAUAACUCAAAAGCUUCACGACCAUAAUGUAUUACUUUAGGAUGACGAUAAUUGGAGAACAAAAUCAAGAACGUGUAAUUAGAGUGGAUCAAUGCCAAAGAUUGAGUUCGAUCAUCUACAAAAAUAGUUGUAGUUCCUUUUGGCCAUUGUAGAUGCUUUAAAAGACAAAAAUAUCCGCCUUUCUGCGGUAUGAACGAGUGAAAUCUGAGAUAAAGAAUACAUGACCAAGCGAAGGUGAGAGUAGAAACAUUGAUAAUGUGUCGAGAGGUUAUGGCUUGAGAUAUGAAAAUAUUUUACGAUGAUUGUAGAUUUUUUUGGUCGAUUGAACAGAAAACCGACAUAUUAGCAAAGAAAGGUCCUGCAAAUUACCUUUCCUUCUCAAGAUGUCUGUAUUCUUCGAGUUGGCUAAUGCUCUGUACCGUGACUAUUAUGUAAUUUCAAAUUCAUCUUAAUAUAAUUUUAAUUUUCUGAAGAAAAAAAACCGACAUUGGUGUUGUGUGUAACUGCAUUGUGGUAAAAUCUUAUAUUUUAAGAAACAGACAUUGGUGUUGGUGUUGUGUGUAACCGAGAUUCUUAUAUUUUAGGUUUGAAUAUAUUUAAGGUUUAUCUCUUCCUUAAUAGUGAGUUUGAGAUGAAGAUCGGUGGUUUAAAAUAUUUUUUGGGAGCUGAAGUAGCAAGGUCAAAACAGUUCAAAACAAGGAAUCUUUAUACAGUAAAACUUUUAUAAAUUAAUAAUGUCGAGAUUAAAAUAUUUUAUUAAUUUAUUAAUUUAUCGAUAUAAAAAUCUACUCGAAAAACUAAUUUAGAACUUAAAAAAUAUAUUAAUUUAUUGAGAUAUUAAUUUAUCGAGUAUAAUUUAUAAAGGUUAUACUAUAUCACAAAGAAAAUAUGUAUUGGAUUUACUUGCAGAAACCAGAAUGCUAGAUUACAAACCAAUUGAGACACCAAUGAUGCAAAAUCUAAAGCUCUCGGUGGAUCCUAACCAAUCACCAACAAACAAAGAAAGGUAUCAAAUAAUAGUGGGAAAUUGAUUUAUUUAUCUCACACUCGAUCUGAUAUAGCUUUUGUAGUUAGUGUUGUGAGUAAAUUCAUGCAUUAGCCAAGUAAGGAGCAUAUGGAUGCAGUUACAAAGAUACUACGCUAUUUAAAGGCAGCACCAGGCAAAGGUCUCAUGUUUAGUAAACACAGUCAUCUUGACGUCGAAGGAUACACAGACGCUGAUUGGACAGGAGACAUCAAUGAUCGUAAGUUAACCUCAGGAUAUUUUACUUUUGUAGGUGGAAACCUGGUGAGUUGGAGAAUCAAAAAGCAGAAAGUGGUUUCACUUUCAAGUACAGAAUCAGAAUUUCGAGGUAUGGAAAAAGGACUACGAGAAUUGUUGUGGUUAAAGAAUCUUCUAACUGAAAUAGGUUUUGCUUCGACAAAGUCAAUGGCAUUGUUUUGUGACAACAAAGCUGCUAUUGACAUAACCCAUAAUCCAGUUCAACACGACCGAACAAAGCACGUGGAGAUAGAUCGAAACUUCAUACGAGAGAAACUCAACAUAGGAAUAAUAUCUGCUUUCCCUUUGUGAAAUCGAAAGAUCAAAAUAUGCUUACAAAAGCAGUUAGUGUGACAAGCUUUCAUCAAAUGUUGUCAAGUUGGGCAUGCAAGAUCUACAUGCUCAACUUGAGGGGGGAGUGUUGAAGAUUUGAUUGAUAUGGAAAAUGUGAUGAAUUGGUAAGUUGUGAUUAUUGGUAGCUAGCCGUUGAUAUUUAGCCGUUAGAAGAUUUGUGUAAUUAUUCUUUCUUUAUGUGUCUUAGUGUGUAUAUAAAGAGGCAAUGUAAUGUAUUGUUGAGAUAUAGAGAAAGUGAAUACAUUAUUUUAUAAAAUAAUAGUUUGUUUUUAAUAAGAUUAUUUGGUAUAUUGAUGAACUAAGAGGUGUUGAAGUGAAAUAUGUGUGGGUUCAACUAGUCAAAAUGCAUCAAUAAGCAUAGGAAGAGCAUCGUAACUAGCUUUACUUAUAACGAAUCCAUCUUUUUUCUCUUUCAUUUUUUUCCCACAACAUCGUAUCUAGAAUGAGUAGAAUCCAACCUUUUUUUUUAAAAAAGAGUCAAAUACGUUGGUUACAAUGUCAAACUUAAAGAAUCGAGAGUGUACUAUUAUGUAACUGACACCCAAAACUCUUGACAAAUGGUCACAAAACUAUUGGCUUCUUCUGUUACCAAAACCUACGCUUGUAGCUAUUCCCCUAUUUUGUUCCCAUGCAUACACAAACACAAUAUUUAUGAGCAUAAGAACAAAAUAUUGAUAUAGACUAACACACACACACACACAAAAAAAAAAAAAAAUGAAGAUGUACCCAAAAUCUGACUCAGACAUGACAAGCCUCGACCUAUCAUCAUCACCAAAACGUCCAGCUUAUUACGUUCAAAGCCCAUCACGUGACUCGGACAAGUCUUCCUCGGUGGCACUGACUCGUCAGACCACUCCUACAGAGUCACCUUCACACCCAUCGUCGUUUGCUAGCCGCAUCUCUAGUGGCGGUGGAGGAGGAUUCCGGUGGAAAGGACGGAGGAAAUAUCACGGCGGAAGAUGGUCGCCGGGUGAUCUUAAGGAAGAAAGUGGCGAUGGACGGUACGAGGAUGUUUAUGGGGACAAUAGAGGAAUCUCAAUUGCUACUUGUAGACUUAUUUUGGGAGUUGUUGCGACAUUGACACUCUUUUCUCUUCUCUGUUCUGUUCUCUUUGCCGCUUCUCAAUCCUUUUCUCCAAAUGUAUACGUCAAGGUAUUUUAAUCCCUUACUUAGCAAGAAUUCACUAAUAUAUUUCAAACCUAUGUGUUUUUCAUUUUCGUUUACAAAUGUUAAGAACAUUUUUAACGAAAAUACUCCACUUUUUCAUUAAUAUUUUUGGUUUUUGAGUUUUCAAUUCAUCAAAAGUGUCGCUUUACAUUUUCGAAUUUUAGACAAAGUUCCUAUUUAAACUUUCACCAGAAACUCAUUAUCUUUAAAUAUAAGUCAUUAUCAUCUAAUUAUUGAUGUACUACAUAUUUGUAUAAUUAAGAAUUUUCUUAAGUUGUGUAAAAUAUUUUAAAAUGAUACUUGGUGAAACAAUUUGAGUAUUAGUAAUGAUUAGUGGGCAACCAUUAUUGACUUUUUUCGUGGUGUUGUUGACGUUGUUGCAAGCUAAUUUCGAAGUAGGCCUUGCUUUCCCAUUAGAAGAAUCAGAACAUUCUAUUAAUUAAGUCCGGCCAUGGAAAUAUAUGGGAUAGAAAUUAACUAAAUUUUCUCGAGCAUAUGAAGCACAUUUUACUAUAUUUACUCCUCAUUGGUCUUUGGUCUUCAUGACCAGCUCAUGCUCAUGAGAUUUAUGGGCCAUUCAAAGAUAGUGGAAGUGCUUCAUAUGCUCGAGAAAAUAUAAGGGAGGCUCGAAGCUCAUGCUUGGCCCGGUUAUAUAUUGUGCGAUUUCCUCUGGAUUCUAAGUCUGAAUCUAGUCGCAGCUUCGAGAUAUAUCUAUAUCUAAGCAGAAAGUAAAGAACACAGAUCUUUUACGAGUUCGGGGCAAUGAAUGCACCCUACGUCUCGCCGGAUGUUUCACCGGAAUUCACUAGAACUUGAUCGGAGUUAUCCUUUACAACCUUGUGCCUCUCUCUGUCUAAGACUCUCUCUCUGUAACAAACUUCAAUCGAGCUUCGAGAAGAAGAUAAGAAGAGAUGACUUUAUACUUAGUCAUUUACAACAUUAGUUAUAUCACGUGGAUCUCACGUGCCUCUCAGGUCUAAAAGGACCCUCUCCUUCACCUGGAGACUUAUGCACACUUAGGUGUAUAUGGAUAAUGAGACACUUUCUUCAAAUCUCCAUCUUGUCUCUUUAUUCACUUCGUCCUAGCUUACUGAAUUCCACAUCCGGAUCAUGAGCAAACCCGCUCAUCCUUUUGCGUUUACAUUUUAUUAUAAGGUGUUUCUCCAAAUGAAUCCAUAACUUUUAGUAAUUUAAAUAAUUGAGAAAAUCGCAAUUUUAAUAUUUGUAAAGCUCUAUACGGGUUUAACUUUUGUCUUCAUGCAUGUGUUAAAUAGGGUGUGAAUGUGCAUAGUUUUUACUACUGGGAAGGUUUAGACAACACAGGAGUUCCGACAAAGAUCAUGAACAUCAAAUGUACAAUGGUUUUCACAACACACAAUCCUUCUACAUUCUUUGGCGUUCACGUCAGUUUCUCUGCUGUCAAACUCAUAUACUCUCGUCAAUUCACGCUUGCCAUUGCUCAGCCAAAGAGUUAUUACCAACCAAAACAGAGCAACCACACGUCUAGGAUCAACCUCGUUGGCUCCAAUGUUCCACUCUACGGUGCAGGAGCGGACUUAGCUGCUUCAGACCACAAUGGAGGAGUUCCCGUGAAGUUGGAGUUCGAGAUUCGAUCAAGCGCUAAUAUUGUCGGAAGCUUAGUCAAGUCUAGGCAUCGGAAACAUCUCUCUUGCUUGUUCUUUAUCUCCUCACACAACAACACGUUUGUAAAAUUCACCAACAAGACUUGUAACGAAUAAUUUUUGUUUUCAUUUAUUUUUGUUAUUCAUUAUAAUACUCAUCCGGUUCAGUAUGUGUGUCCUUUGAGAAGAGUUUUUGUAGUUCAAAAUAAAUGUCUUUUUUAAAUUUUAAUGUGACUUUUUGGUCGUAAAUACGUUAAACCUAAUCAAAAUUAACGAAAUCUUCUAAUAUUAUUUAAGAAGAACACUUAAAAAAAGAAACUUUAUAUGAUGUGUUAUUAACAACUUUGUCAUGCUGAGAUGUCAAUUUCAGAGAGUUUUUCAGAAUUUUUUUUUAAAAUAGGUUCAACACACUAGAUUAAUUACAUCAUAUGUCAUUAACAUUAAUUUAGUUAGUUAAAGAUUAGUUUAUAUCAAUUAUAUAUGUAAUACUCAAACAUUUAAUUUGUAAAAAUAUUCUCUUUUUUUAUAUUUUUAUUAACAUAUUUCUAAAAUUUUAAUACAUAAUAUUUCUGAUGUUACUAAACAUUAUAUUUUUUUUAUUUCAUCUUUCUUUACUUUUAAUUUGUUAAAAGAUAAUUAUAUUAUCUAUUACCUUUCUCGGCAUUUUGGCUAAGAUCAAGUGUAGUAUCUGUUCUUAUCGGUUUAAUAUCUGAUAUGUGGGUCAUCGGUCCACACGAUAUUAACUCUAUUUUUUUAGGGAAAAAGCCCACUAAGAUAGCUUGCUAUCUGGGUUUUUGCGAGUCGCCCAUGCGUUGCACUACUGCAAGGGCCUAGUUUAGCCCCAAAAAAAAAAUCUAAUUUAAUAUACACAUAAUAAUUCAAAAAUAUUAAUAUCAAAACAAAAUAUCUUAAUCUGAUAUUGGACCAGUUAGAUAUAACGUAUUAAUCCAAUUUAGUAUAUUUAAUGUAAAACUUCAUUCAUAUAAAAAAAUAUUAUUAAAAUCUUAUACUAAUAAAAGUUGAAGCUAAAUGCUUUUCAAGGCGUCCACAUAGGAUUUAAAAGACUAAUUUUAUUGGUCCACAUCAGCAUUCAAAAUUAAGGAAAAUUUCCAAUUUUUAAUAUUAUUGUUAAAUAAGAAAAUUAAGAAAGUUUACAAAUUCUAAUAUUAUUUCUGAAUAAAGAAUUCUGUAUAAUUUUUUUAUUGGUCCACCUCAACAUUGAAAAUUAAAGAGUUUCUAAUUUAAUUGUUGUUUUUAAAAUUCUUAAAGAUAAAUAAUUAAAAACUAAAUUAAAUAAUAUUAACAUAAGAAAUUUUAAAUUCAAAUUAGAUAUAUAUACACAAUAUUUAGAGGCUCUUACAGUAGCAUCCAAAAUUUUGUCACAUAACUAUAAUAAUUUUUAAGUUUUUUUCUAUAUGUUCAACCAUUUCAAAUUAAAAAAGAAACAAAAAAAUAGAGUCAGAUUUCAUUUAAGAAUGAGUCAUUAAAAAGAGAGUGUAAAAUCUCCAAAUUUUGCCACCGAAUUUGAAAAAAAAUGAUAAAUUUCAAAUAAUCCGAGAAACAUGUCAAGUGACUGAUAUGCGACACUUUUGAAAAACGAAGCACUGAAAAUAGAAAAAAAGUUUCUUCAUUAAACAAAAGAGACUGAAGUACCCAAAGAAGAUUUUUGAAAUAACAUGACAUCUGAUGGGGUUUUAACAACCCAACCUGAACCACAAAACAUGAAUAAGAAUAACAUGACAUCUAAAGCAGCAUUAGAAUACAUUCGGUAAGCCUCAAAACAAGGAGGAGAGACUAAAAUCAUUUGCCGCAAUGGGCAUCGUGUGGGAUCUUUCACCUUUGAUUUAUAAAUCUAUUAUUAAUAAAAGUUAAAGUUAUAUGCCGCUAAAAAUACCCACAUAUGAUUUAAAAGUUUAAUUUUAUUUAUCAACAUCAAUUUUUAAAAUUAAAGAAUUUCCCAAUUUUAAAAUUAUAUCAUUAACAAAAAAAUUAUAUAUAUAAUAAAAAAAUAAAAGUUGAAGCUAUAUGCCUUUAGAAUACCCACAUUAGAUUUAAAAGAUCAAUUUUAUUAAUACACAUUAAUAACUAAAAUUAAAAAGUUUCUAAAUUAUAAAAUUACAUUGUUAAUACAAAACAAUAUAGAAAAAUUGUUAAUUAAAAUUAUUUUAUUAUUAAUAACAGUUAAAUAUACAUUAUUAUCAAAGCAUCCUUAUCAGUAUUUAAAAAUUCAAUUUUAUUUAUAUAUAUCAAAAUUGUAAAUUAAAAAAGUUUUAUAAUUCUAAUAUUAUAAUUAGGAAAAUAAAUUAAAAAUAAAGAAAUCUCUAUUAACAGAAAAAACAACAUGAUAGUAAAAUUUCUUCUAACUUACAAAUUUAAUUUUUUUAUCUAUUAAAAAUACAUGCUACUUAUACAAGCUUAGGUUACUUGAUUAUAAGGUUUUUCACCAAGAAUUUCAAAUAAUAAUAAUUAUUUAAAAUUUUUAAUAUAUGCAAAAUAUAUUUCCACAUAAUCUCAUGUAAUAUAUUAUGCAAAAAUGAUCAAAAAAUUAUAUUUUGUAUAUUCGACUUGGAAUUGCAAUAGAUUAAUGUAACAAUUGUUAGUUUUGAGUUAUUCAAUUAGUUAUUUCAUUUUUCUAAAUUUGUAUGUAUUAAAAUGUACCAGUUUUGCCUACUUAAUUAUAAUUAGAAAAAGUGAGAAUGAUAUGAUGAAACUGAAUAUAAUCAUAAAAAAUUAUUAAAUUAAAUAAAUAUGAUAUAUUCAAUGAAAAACAGACAUAACAAUAAUUAUAAUAAACAUAAUGAAAAACAAAAUUUCAUUCUUAUUAGAAAAGAUGACGUAUAAUUAUUGAAAAAUUAUUUAGAAGUUUACACAACCAAUUGACAUAAAUAUAUUUAAUUCAUAAAGUUUGUGUAAUUUUAUUCAUUUCAUAUUAAUUCAACUAUUGUUUUGAUUUCAAUUUUAAAGUUUGUUAUUAAUCUCAAAACAAACAUUUUAUUUAUUAGUUUUUUUUUAAAUUAAUAUAUCAAAAUAAAAAUUUUUAUUGGUUAAACAAAGAAGAAAAAAAAUUAAAUUUUAAAUUUAAUUGUUUAAAAACACAUCUAUAAUUGGAAUAAAAGUGAAAAAUGAUUAAAAAAAUUAUCUUCUUGAUUUAUGAAAGUGAAUGUAUAAUAAUUGAUCAUCAUGUCAAUAAUAUGUUUAAAAUGUAGCAUUUGAUUAAUUUGUAAAAAAAAAUUAAUUGGUUUGGGUAUAUUAACUUAAAAGUGUUUGACAAAAUAAUACGUUUUUGAAAUAUGACAUAUUGUAUAUAGAUUUAAAACAAAACUGUUAAAACUUCACAAUUUACAUAAAACUUAUUAGAUUAACACCAUAAUAUUUUUAAUAUAUUAUUAAAAUACUAAUAUAUAAAAUUAUAUCUUAAUAAAUAUAAUUGAUUGCAUAUAAAUUUUAUCAACAAACUACCCACGCGUAGCGUGGAUGCAAAAUCUAGUUAAUUAUAAAACCACUAUUUAUCUAGCAUUUAUGUAAUUGUAUUACAAAAUAAAGAUAUUUUUAAUCAUUAUUUACAAUUGUAUAAUCAACAUAUAUAUAUAUAUAUUUGCAAUUUUAAAUAUCAUCAGCUAAUAUUUUUAUAGUUGUAUUUAUAUAUAUUAUAUUUGUAUAUUUGAAUAAAAGAAUUAUGGUUAAUAUUUACUCCGCACUUGGUGCACGUAAUCACCUAAUAAAAC